rnacentral:lncRNA from 1 species
UUUUUCUUUCUUGCACCCUGGCCGAUGUACGUACGUGUACAUGCUAUGUGCACGCCUCUACUAUGACACGUGCGCGCCUCUACUACGACACGUGCCCUUCCUUGCACGGCCAUGGUUCAUCGCUGCAGCCUGCAGACAGACCGAUCGUAUGUACGUACACGUUCGUGACCAGAAUGACAAUGCUACGUAUGCUUCGACCAUGUGGGUCCCAACUGUCAGGCACUUCCUUGCGUGCGAAGAUGUAGUUGGUGGGUCCCAGCAGUCAAGGGGAAACUUUUUUUGCAAAAUACGGUGGCCCGUUCGGUGGGUCCCUGCUGUCAGGUGGAGGAAUCAUUAUUUUGCGCGUAAUAUGGAGGCACUUCCUUGCUGCGGCCGUGGACCCAGCUGUCAGCCUCUCCACGUAUAGUACUCUUUCGAUGGAAGUUGUUCCUUGACCAUGUUGACCACGCCGCGCCGAGAGCACCAGGGCGGUGGACGACGGCAAGGCCUAGGAAGGGUACGACUCGGAGCCGGGGAAGACGCGGUAGUGGAAGCCCACGCAGAGAGGAGUACGAGGGUUCACUGGUUCGGCUGCGGUGUGAGGCUGCCGGCGCCGCAGGGCCUGGCUAGUGGUGGGAGUAGUAGGGGCGGUGAGGCCUCCGCGGCAGCACGGCCGGCCAUGGGAGGCAGGAGCAGGCGGCACGACCGGCGCUGCUCUGGGCGGCUGGAGCAAGAAGACCAGAGGUUGAAGAAGCACUACGGCCGUUGGAUGGACAUCGUACGGUCACUGGAGCUAGAAUCGUCCAUAUUGACUAAGUUGACAAAGCCCUCCAUCCCCUUCAACUUAGUAGGCCCACAAGUCAGCCUCCCACUAUGCUGGGUCCCAGCUAGCAGGGGGAGUAUUCAUUUUUUGUGAGCAAUAAGGAGGCACUUCCUUGCGUGUGAAGAUAUAGCUGGUGGGUCCGAGCUGUCAGCGGGGGGAACGUAUUUUUCCUGAAAUACAGAGGCCCUUCCGGUGGGUCCCAGAUGUCAGGUGGAGGAAUCAUUAUUUUGGGCAUAAUAAGGAGGCAUUUCCUUAUGUGCGGCUGUGGACCCAUCUGUCAGCCUCUCCACGUACAGUCCAUUUCCAGUGGAUGUCGUUCGUUGACCACGUUGACCACGCCGUGUCGAGAGCACCAGGGCGAUGGACGACGGCGAGGCCUAUGAAGGGAAUGACACGGACCCGGGGAAAACACGGCAGUGGCUGCCCACGCGGUGGGGAGUACGAGGGUUGACUGGUUCGGCUGUCGUCGCCGGAGAAUAACAGCAGGUGUAGGUGAGUAGAGGGAUGGCUAGGCCAGCGAUGGGAGUACGGUGGGGCUUUGAGGCCUGCGCGGCAGCACAGCCGGCCGCAGGAGGAGGGAGCAGGCAGUCCCGCGGGCGCUUGUUUGAGCGGCUGGAGCAGGAAGAGCAGGAAUUGAAGAAGCACGACGGCCGUUGGAUGGACAUCCAACAGUCACUGCUUGUGCGUCAACCUUUUUUUUAGGAAAGCCUCAAAUCUGUGGGAAACAGCAUACAGCCCAUCUGCCAUUAUUUCUAAUAAUUUACAUCCCAUUUGCUAAUUCUCAAGGUUUUUUUGGAGCCCAUAUUCUUUUUGUUAGCAUUACAGCCCAUAUUGUGGCCACGGUUAAAAAAUUAUACGAAAUUUUGCAUAUUUCGGUGCGGUCCGAACUGUUUUUAAUCCCGAAAUUUCGAGUCACAUUCAAACUGAUUUUAAAAAUAAAUGUAUAUCAAUAUAAAAUCCAAAAAAUUGUCCACACAUAAAAAUAAAUGCAAUUUGAAAUCUCAAAAUGAAAAAACAAAUUUGAAACUAAUUGCCGGUUUGAUGUGUUUUAAAAAUGUACAACCCAUUUCUCAUUACUGAUAGGCCAUUUUCUCGGCCAGCCGAAUGAAGCUCUCCUCGUCUUGAAAGUUUGCAGCCCAACAGGCCUGACAAAGCGACUUACUUGACAAAUCACAAAAAAAAACUGGGCUAGCUAUUUUCAGAAAGAACAAAAAAAACUACUGGGCUGGUCUGUGGUAAACAUAAAGGAAAAGGUUGUCUAGACGGGCCAGAGUGCCCCGCACAGCCCAGUUGACACCCUGCUUCCGUUCCAAAAACAAAAUAGAUAAAUGCCACUCCAAUUAUGGCGAUUCAUAAAAAUGCCACAGCAAUUUUCAAACUUUGAAAAAUGCCACUGCAAUUUUUGCAAACUUUGAAAAACGCCACUGCAAUUUGCAAACUAUGAAAAACGCCACUCCACACUUCGAAAAAUGCCAUUGGAAAUGGCAUGAAAUGGUAUUUUUCAAAUUUGGAAAUUGCAGUGGCAUUUCUCGGAAUCACCAGAUUUGGAGUGGCAUUUAUCAAAUUAACCCAAAACAAAAAUAACUGGGCGAGUUGCUGGGUCCUUGGUGUCAGCCGCUCGUUGUGCAAUUCUCUCGUUUAUUGACUACGUUGACAAUGGCAUGGGGCUCAGAUGUCAGAAAUCCAUUAGGAGGAGCCAUUUUUUAUUGGCUUGAAAUAAGGAGGCACUUGCUUGCGUGCUGCCAUGACCUUGGUGGGUCCCUGAUGUCAUCCUCUCCACGUAUAAUCAUCUCCUGAUUGUGUACGCGUCAACCUGGUAGGCCCACAAGUCAGCCUCUAAAACCGUGGCGGACAAAUACCACCCAUUUAAAAAAUAACAGCCCAUUCCAUACGUUCAAACGGAAAGUUCAACAUUCAGAGCAAAGUAACAGGUCCGAUCCAGAUAUAGAGUACUAAACUUCCACGUUGACAACCAUCAUAGCCAAGUUAACUCUUUGCUCCCACUAAUACUCUAGUAGUGUACAAGUACUAACUUACUCUUAGCUAACUAGACGAUGCCGGCCGCCGUCUGUGGUACACGCUAAACGCCAGCAUCGGCGCCUCCGCCUCGCCUCGGACUUGCCAGAGGUGCGAUACGGCGCGUUGCUCGCGCACAUUGGCCCUUUCCAUGCCGGCAUGGUCCACCGAAGCUUCGGCUUCUAAGCAGGAAACCCACUUGAUGAGCUUGUAGUAAAAUUCGGCAUCGCGAACGCGUGCGUGCCCGACAGCCUCCAGGGCUAUUUGCCGGGCGCCGACCUCCACGUAGUCGGCCCAGUUGUGGGCGCUCUGCUCGCGACUCAGAGCGUCGGUGCGCUGCUGCUCCAUGUCCCGCUGGCGGCGCAAAUCGGCAAUACGCAGCUCCUCCGCCAGGCGGUCGCGGUCCAACAACUCCUCAUACUCCGCAUUGCCAUCUAAAGACCAAUAGAAUGCCUCCUCCCUCCGUCUGCCUUCCGGUGAAAAACCGAACACCAGUUCCGGCGGUGACCGCCUCCUGCGUCGCCUAUCGCGGAUGGGCGGGGGCAUGGCGGACGAGGAGAGAGCGAGGAUAAGUGGCGUGCGACGUCGGGCCGGUGGGGGCUUAUGAGGAUAGGGCGAGUUGGGUGAUGGUGCCACCGGAGAAGCCCGAGAAACAAUAAUUAUAGGCGGAAGGUAGGCGAACUAGCAUGUCGCGGGAAACGCGACGGUCAUCGCGGUCAUCGGUAUUCAAUGCAUAAGAAGGCAUGGCUUAGCGCGCCAGCUUGCCGUGGAAAACUAGAAAAACUGAAAUUAUGACUGUGCGGUCCCGUCCCGUCAGUGGUGCAUCCCGUCCGUGCUGGGUCGCAUGCCGGCAUGACGGUCAAACGAGUGCACUCGAAUCAUCCAGAUGAGGUACUCCCUCCUUGUCAAUAAUGAUUCCACGGAUUUAAAAGGCCCGCAACAAUUAAAGUGCAUCUUUUUCGCAUCAGUUAGCUGCCUUAAUUAUGGCCGGCUGCAUGCAGCCACUCAGAAUCGCUCGCAGCCAGUAUGCGGAGCAUCAUGCAAUGAGUCACAGCCGAGGGCACGCAUGCAGCCACUCAAAUUACUGGAAUUAAUUAGGCUUAAACUUCUGCAUGCAGUUAAUUAUUGACAUGCCUUGGUCCUGCUGCUUUGGCUCAUGGGACUAAUAAACCCGGACGGAGGGAGUACCUUGGUUGGUGAGAUUUUUGAAUUAAGCCCUGCAAACCGGAAAGGAGGUACUAGUACGUGCGUGAUUCGCUAUUUAUUCGUGUAGGAUCGAGUAGGUCGUUUCUUGAAUUGAGCCUUGCAAACCGGAAAGGAGGUAGUACGUGCGUGAUCCGCUAUUUAUCCAUGUAGGAUCGAGUAGGUCGGAUAGUGUACGUGUAGGAUCGAGUAGUUCGGAUGGUGUACGUGUACGAUCGCAUUAGCUGAUGAACGUUAGCUGGGAGAUAGGGCAUUUGCGAACGUUUUUGCUGGCAGUUUCUUCAGAUUCGCAUGGCAUUUUCUUCAUAGCAGCUUGUCAGUUUCUUCAGAGGUAGGCAUUUUUAUUCAAAAAAUUGCCACUUCGGAUCUUGCGUCACAACUAAAACUGCCAGGAGCGCAUUAGUAGGCUAGCUAGUGAUCGAUCAGUAACUUGUAAACACUGAGCAAACAGAAAUGAGGAACUGUUAGUAACUUGUAAACACUGAGAACACAGAAAUAAGGAUCAUGAUGUGCACAGCAGUAAGAGUCGAUCCGUUCGAAAUGUUCACACGAGACUCAAAAGCCUGGCAUUGUAAUAUGUUCGCAUUAGUAGCCCAAAUUCAAAACCAACUAGUACGAUUCCCAUACAUAAGAUCAACAUGUUAAUGCAUCUCAAUGAUUCACAGAUCAUAUACAAAUAUCUAGCUCCAAAAGCAAAGAUCUAGAAAAAAACAUAUGUUUUUCCUACUAACAUGGAUGCUUCUCUUGGCCAACAUUCAGUACAGACUAAAAGACAAAUUGGUUUGUGAAGUCUACAAUUCCUCUUGCAAACGUAAGUGGUUUCAAUAACAGCUAGAACCAUGAGAAUGAACCACACAUGAUGGAGGAACAUCCACUGUAAUAUGAUUUGGUCUUCUCUUGAUCACACGACGAGACUAUUUUCGGAAUACAAACUUUAACUUAGGAAAAAUGAUGCCCAUUGUAUAAUCUAACCAAAGCAAUGAAGAACCUAGUGUUGGCCAAUAAAUAGUACAGUACUACUUUUCUGUAGUCCAUGAAGUGACUAUCCAAUCUUUCUGUGUCUAUUUUGGCACUGCAUGCAGUGACUAUACUAUUCUCUUGUGUAGUUCAACCAAAAUUGCAGUCACUUUGUUUGUUUGUCAAAUAGCAACGGGCAGACAUCUCUGUCUGCACAAAUAUCAAGCAGCUAGUAAACAUAUACCCCACCUUAUAUUUUCGGUUUAAACACAUCUCUUCCGCUUAGCAUCUUUCAUGUUUUGCACUAGACAAUUUGAUGCAGUCAUGUUUUGCCCUGGACAAUUUUGUACUGAAUUGAUUUGCUGGUUCAGAGCAUAAAUAUAGCGCCUAUUCUUCAUCAGACCAAGGAUAUCCAUGUUCGCAGUGAUGGAAGAGGUGAAAUCGAUACAACCAAGAUUGAGCAUCCAAUCAUUGAAUCCUGUCCAGCACCUCCAAUGUAGGUCCACCAUGCCAAUAAAUUCACAUGCAAACCACUAAUAUUACUAUCUAAUGACAGUACAAAAAGAGUAGCAAGAUAGUAGCAAACCAUGUACCUUCGUAAAGAACAGCUCAUAGUGCCACCAAUUGGAUAUAAAGGUUUGGAAGAAAACAUGCUCCUAAUAUUGAACCAUUUGGACUUUUUGUGCAGUUCCACUAAAAUCGAGCAUCCCUGUUUGCAUAGAUAUUGAAAGUGUGAUUACUAUAAAAGUGGCACUAGUUGAAGCAUAGACUCACAAAUAUAAGCAUUCCAAUUUCUUAAUGGGAAAAGGUAGCAAGACUGUUUCUAACCACCUAUUUGAAGGAAUAAAUAAGGCAACAUCGGCUGAUGUCAGGAAGGCAUAUAUAGUUCUUUCUGAAAGAAUGAUCGAUUCCUGAUCUUUCCUCUUCUUUUAAGCAUAUUUUGUGUAGUUCAACUAAAAUAAAAUGCCAUCACCGCCUUGACAAUUAAGUGAGACUGUAAAAAAGGAAAUGACUUAACAUUACAUCAUGAUGUGAGGUAUGUAGUCGACAGGCAUUAGAGACAAACAUACAGACCUCCUCCGAAAACAUAAUGAACAUUAAUUUUAACAAACGUGUGACUAGCUUUACCAAGAUAAUUUGAGUGGACUCUACACCCUCUGUUCCUUAAUAUAAGACGUUUUCGCAAUUCAAUUUAAAGUACCCAAACGUCUAAUAUUUAGAAAAACAGGUAGUAGUUUUCUUGAGCACAUAUCUGGGAACGCUCGCCACAUUUUAUUUAUGUCCAUACGCUAAUGCAACACCAUUCGAAUAGUACAAAUAUACACUAAUCCAGUGGCUAGUGCAAUAGUAGAGUAGUUAUUUUAUUACAAGGUACAGUACAAUGGUUUUACUGAACAGAAUUCAAUAAACUCUAGCACUGGAAGAUUUCUCUAAGAAUAAACAAUACAAAAUAUAAAGGUAACAAGUUUCAGCAUUGGUAUACUAGUUGUGCAUGAGCAUUAAACCAAAUACAAAAGUCUGAAGGUAACUAGCAUUAUUAACUAAUGACAGUAUAAAAUAUUGCAAACCAUGUACCUUCAAGGUAAAUAUCAUUUCGAACUCGAGGAGACCUAAAAAUUGUACCCCAAUAUUGAUAAUCGGUCAAACAUAGAAACUUGAUCGAACGAAUCAAGAGAACAGCUGGAGGAGGAGGUGCCCACUCUUGACCUUUCCUCUGAACACUGUACAAAAACAUUGACUUAUCUCAUGGAAGUGAGGUAUGUAAUCUAUAAGCAUUAACAGUGCAAAAAUCUGAAGGUAGUAACAAGAUUCAUCGUUGGUAUACUGGCUGUGCAACAAGAUUAGAAUGCCUUAGCUGAAAAAUCUUUAAUACAUCCACAAUCAACAGCUAGCCCUAAAAUAAUCUAGUGACAUUAAAUGUCAUUGCUUAAAUUUAUCGGUGGCAUUAGACUGAGUGCGACAUUAGUUAAAUGUGGCAUCACUUUAGCAGUAGCAUUGCUUGACUUGACUACUGGCGUUAUACUAACAGCAAAAAAUUGGCAAUAAGAGCAUGGGAGGCCCAUUCAGACAGUGGGCGCACCAGUACGAUGUACCUCCACGGAUGCAUAGAGUGCUGAGGGAGGUAUGAUUGCCCAGAGCAACAAAUAUCCAGGCAGCAUAUGUGGAUUAUGUCCCAUUUUUGUUCUCUUUAGCCACCUUUUUCCUAUGUGAGACCAACAAACCGAUCGACCUGGUCAUUCUCUAUUGCGUUGUCAUGCCUUUCUACCCUUCUUCAACCAAGAGACACGAGACUUGUUCCUUAGCUACUAAUUUUCCCCUUUUCAACCUAGAUGCGGGUUCGAUGCCUACUCUCUUGGACAGUACAGUCUCCCUUCCUUUCCUUAUUCAACCCAGACAUGGAUUAGUCUGCAUGAAGUAGGGUUUCCUUUAAUACUGCAAAUUAAGGUUUUCGUCUGCGUGACCAGCAGAGCAGAGGAUAGCAAAUUGGGAAGAUGGUGGAGUGGAAAAAGAUCCACAUGCAUCGACGUGGCAGAUGGGGUAAUAGAACAAGGGUAUGGUUCGAAAAGAGGUAGCAUACCUGAGGGUCGGCGGGAAGUGGCUUCGCUCGUGGUCGUCGUCCUCCGCACACACUACAGCAGCGAGCUUGGGGACGGAGGCCAUCCCGCGCGGGCGCUAGGUCUGGACGGCCUUGUCAUCAGUGCGUGACCUCGCUCGCCGACGAGGAGUGCGUCAACGCUGCACGUCCUUUUGUUCCCCGGCAGAUCUGUGACCACCGGUGAGGAGGGAGAGAGAGGCCAUCUUUUUUAGAUCUGGAGAGAGGGUGAUAGUGUGAGAAGCAAGUGGGCAGCCCUUAGCAAGAAAGCGCUGAAGCUCCAGCCUAUAUAUCUUUUUUAUACUACUAGUACUAGAGGUGGAGUAGUGGUAGAGUACUUUAUAUUUUCUAUGCAUACAUUACCAGUUAGUCGUGCUUCAAAACUGAAUGGCACGCCAUUAAAGAAUAAAGUCGAGAAAUAAUGCGGCACUUCGGGCCAACGCGGCCAGAUCGCAUUUUGCACGAGAAAUGACACACCAUAUUUUGUUGACAUGUGGUCCCGUUCCAACAUGUCAGUGAGACGAUGGUGAGUCCUUUUGUUCAAUUUCCGAACAGACGUCUAUCUAUGCCGGGGCGCCUCUUCGUGUACCAUGGCAACCGUCCACCGCCUCUUCGCCUUCCCCUCUCGAUUUGGAACUGCUGUCGCACGCUCUUCCUCCCUCCUCCAUUUUGCCUUCACCCUUCAUUCUGCCAUUGUUCGAUCGUCUUCUCCAUGGAGGGAACAAGCCAGAAACGACCCCAUUAUUCUUGCCCAGAUCUAAAAGAUGACGUGGUGGAGGAACUCAUUGAUCGGUGCGACGUCAUCACCUCAGCUAGCAUGGCAGGUUCGUUCAAGAACAUUCCCGACUCAACUAAUAACAUCAUUACAAGGAACCCAAGGGUCCAGGAGCGGUUUGAUCUCCCUUAUCUUCUUCUCUAUAAGCCUGUUCGCUUGGGUGCGGACAACGGAGGCCUCGCCUUGUGCAAGUUGAUGCCACUUGAUAACGAUACGUGUGAUGUCAAGAUGCCAUUGCUUAAGGGUAAGGCCUGGGCUGGCGCAAAUGGAGAUUGGGUUGUUUAUAUUGGGUACAAUUGCGAGUGGGAACUUGUGAAUGUGUACACUCGUCAGCGGAUUCCACUUCCAAAAAUCUCAGAGUGCCCUGAGGUUGAGCACACAGAUGAUCUACGUAUGUUCAAAUACGAUCAUGGUGGCUUUCGUCUACGAAGAUAGCAAUUUGUCGAGUUCCCAACCACUCUUGGAAUUACGAGAACUAUGAAGUUACUGCUAUCUUCGACAAGCCUGUUGCCGUCGUUAUUGAUUCCAUGGUUCGUCCAUGGAUAUUGCUCAAAAUCAGUUUCUGUACACGGAUGAGCACUGUGAUGCAAUUGAAUACGAGGAUCUUGUGUUUGCUGCCACUACUCGUGGCACUGUUUUUGCAUGGGAUCCUCGUAGUUUCGGUACGUUUGUGUUCCACCGUAAUUAUAAUUGUUUCAUCCACAUGCAUGCGGGUUAGCAAGUUUCCCUUUACUAAUUAACCUUCUUGUGUUUCCAAGGUCCUGUGAACAUUCCACCACCUAUACUUGAAAAUUCUUAUAACCAAGGGGGGAGAUGACGAUGGUGAUGAUCACGAGCAUGAGGAUGAGCAGAACUUAUAUACACAGUGGUGCCUGGAAACUAAUUCCGAUGGAUCACCUCUUCUUGUCUAUAUAUAGUGCACUGAGAUUGUUACUACUGAGGGAGCACGUGUUGUCUCCCAUGGUCGCCCUCUCCGGACCUAUUCCAACACCCGUUGCAGGGUAUUUGGGAUGGAUACUAGUGUGCUAGCGCCAACACCUUCUCCCUGGUUCAGUAUUGAUAGUCUUGGAGAAAACUCGCUCUUCCUUGGACCAAACUAUCCAAUGAUGGUGAAAGGCAAUCCAGCUGCUGUUGACACAACGUUACUACCAUUUAUGAGAAGCAACUGUAUCUAUACCUCGGACGUUGCGGUGGUUCCCUACCCUGGUCCUGAUAUAUGCCGCUUCAGUCUAGAUGAUCAGCCCUGCGUUGCUCUCGGUAUUGACAAUAGUUGGCCCUUCCCAGAGCACCUAUGGUUCAAAGCAAGCGUUUCCAACGCCGAGGAUUGGUUGAGUUGAAGUUCAUUUCAUUGCUUGUUAUUUGUUGUGUGAUGAAAACUUCAGUAUUUACUAGAAUGUUUUGUUGGAAAUAAUCUAUAAUCCAACAUGUAUCCUCGUUGUCGUUGUGUGUUGAUGACUUGUUGUAUGUAAUGAAUGGUACACUUGCAAAUGCAUGUCAUAGACUCAAUUUAUGAAUGGUUUUCGAGUCACUUCUUGGAGUGUGAGUACCAUAGUAGUAUAGCCAGCAUCCGGUUAGUAUAUGAAGUUGCCACAUCACAUACAGCCAACCUAAUAUUGGAGUAUGCUAUCCCUCCACCGGCGCGCUGCUUCAAAUGGCGGACGAAGUGAGAGGUCGCGUCACCUUGUGUCCAGAUCUGAGAUGCCACGUGUACCAGAUGAAUGACUCCAAGUUCGACCACCGUGACGCUAGGUGCGAGCCGAGGAACACUGUUGGAGAGACCCCCCCUCAGACCAAGUAUAAUAAGGUGACGUAGGCGGGUUGUAAGGCUUAAAAUAUUAUAUCUUUGCUGAGUUGGAUGAGAGAGAAGAGGAUAGAGAAGAGAAGCGGGCUGUAGAUUUACAGACGACUGUAGCACGGGCUCCAAAAACCUACGUGAGAGUGUAUGGUGGGCCAUGUGGUAAAAUAGUAGUACUUUCUUAUAGCCCACUAUUAUACAUGUUUGACUAUUACAUUGGCUAUAGAUGACAUGGCAACAUGUUAUAGCCACCGGUCGGCUAUAUUAUUAACCAUGCUCUCAUAAUUUUCCUACAUUGGUCGUUUGAUUCAUAGGAUAGAAUGCUAUAGGAUUCUUUUCCCUAUGUAAUCAUGUUUUAAUUGGCAAUCUAGCAUCCACUCCAACUUUUGUUUCACUUCCUUUGUUCCUAAGAAGAGAGUACUUGCUCUAAAUGAUGUGCCGCUGCAAGAGCCGUAUAUAUUAAUUAACCAUGCUCUAAAAAGGUGGACCAGCUUUGGCAAUAGCACUACUAUACUGGGUUAGUAGGUGACCUUGUGCUUGGCUCUUCUCCUCUUCCGGAAGUCGAACAAUAAUGAUGGUACUACAGUAGUACUUCUGUCAAUCUGACACCAAAUGAACUGCUGCACAUCCACCGCUUGUAAGCAAAAGUUUCUCCUCGUGCUGCGAGCCACCGCGCACGCGUUGGCGAGGGAGAAGGCGUAGUAAGCAAGCUUCUCGUUGUUCUGCGAGUUGACGGGACACAUCAAAGUUAUUUAUUAGUACUCUCUUCAAAAAGGGCCGACCAUGUCCAUGGCUACCAUCCCGUGCUCUGUCAUUGAGUACGUGCACUAUUAACGUGCCAUCGAGGAGAAAAAAUAUUGCGUAGUACUAGGUGCCAUCGAAGUGCAUGACUCACGCACUGCAUAUCUCCAUUUUCUUGCAUGACACACCACCUAGAUGCUAGAUGUCCUGCGUGUCAUCGAGGCAUAUAGUAUGAUUUUUAAAAUGGAGGCAUAUAGAUGUCCCGCGUGUCGGCAAAAGGACGAACAAAGCUCAUGUCUUAAACGAAAGAGUGGAAGAACAUAGAUUCCCGACGACCGAGAAGGAGCAACAAACCUCGCGGUGGACUGUCUGCACUCAUAAUAUUUUAUAUUAUUCAGCGAUAUAAAAUCAACCAAAUCUCUCCAUGUUCCUAUACCAUUCUAUAGUAUGAGAAUAACUUUGAACAUAAGCCAUUGAUUCACUCUAUCCAAUGGUCAUAGUUGCAAAACCCAAACAAAACUAAGCAUUGGAUCAACUCUUUUAGCACUUAGAUUGUUGCCGCCUGCCCACCUAGCCCACCUAUAUAUCCGCUCAUGUGUGAUGACCACAGGAGCUAUCCACUCAGAUUGUAUGUUAAAAAAAUAAAGGUCGAUAACUAAUGCGGAACCUCAGGCCAACGCGGCCAGAUCGCAUUUUGCACGAGAAAUUACACACCAUGUUUCGUUGACAUGUGGUCCCGUUCCAACAUGUCAAUGACACAACAGGGAAUCCUUUUGUACAAUUUCCGAACGGACGUGUAGGCCGGGCCAUCUAUUCGUGUGCCAUGGCAAACUGGUAACUGUCCACCGACUCUUCGCCUUUCCCUCUCGAUUUGGAAUUGUUGUCGCACGCUCUUCCUCCCUCCUCCAUUUGCCUUCACCCUUCCUUCUGCCAUUGUUCGAUCGUAUUCUCCAUGGAGGGAAUAGGUCGGAAACGACCCCGUUAUUCUUGCCCCGAUCUGAAAGAUGACGUGGUGGAGGAACUCAUUGAUCGGUGCGACGUCAUCACCUCGGCUAGCAUGGAAGGUUCGUUCAAGACCAUUCUCGACUCAACUAAUAACAUCAUUACAAGGAACCCAAGGGUCCAGGAGCGAUUUGAUCUCCCCUAUCUUCUUCGCCGUGACCCUGCUAACUGGCGCGGGGACGAGGGAAGCCUCGCCUUGUGCAAGUUGAUGCCGCUUGAUAAUGAUACGUAUGAUGUUAAGAUGCCAUCGCUUGAGGGCAAGGCUUGGACAGGCGCAAAUGGAGGUUGGGUUAUUUAUAUUGGGUACAACUGCAAGUGGGAACUUGGGAAUGUGUACACUCGUCAUUGGGUUCCACUUCCAAAAAUCUCAGACUGCCCAGAGGUUGAGCACACCGGUAUUCUACGCAUGUUCAAAUACGAUCAUGGUGACUGUCUUCUAUGGAAGAUAGCAAUUUGUCGAGUUCCCAACCGCUCCUGGCAUUACAGGAACUAUGGAGUUGUUGCUAUCUUGGACAAGCUUGUUGCCAUCCUUCGUGGGUCGACUGGAUGGAUAUUGCUCAAAAAUCAGUUUCUAUACACGGAUGUGUACUGUGAUGCAAUUCAAUACGAGGGUCUUGUGUUUGCUGCCACCACUCGUGGCACUGUUUUUGCAUGGGAUCCUCGUAGUUUCGGUACGUUUGUCUUCCACCGUAAUUAUAAUUGUUUCAUCCACAUGCAUGUGGGUUAGCAAGUUUCCCUUUACUAAUUAACCUUCUUCUCGUGUUUCCAAGGUCCUGUGAACAUUCCACCACCUAUACUUGAAAAUUCUUAUAACCAAGGGGGGAGAUGACGAUGGUGAUGAUCACGAGCAUGAGGAUGAGCAGAACUUAUAUACACAGUGGUGCCUGGAAACUAAUUCCGAUGGAUCACCUCUUCUUGUCUAUAUAUAGUGCACUGAGAUUGUUACUACUGAGGGAGCACGUGUUGUCUCCCAUGGUCGCCCUCUCCGGACCUAUUCCAACACCCGUUGCAGGGUAUUUGGGAUGGAUACUAGUGUGCUAGCGCCAACACCUUCUCCCUGGUUCAGUAUUGAUAGUCUUGGAGAAAACUCGCUCUUCCUUGGACCAAACUAUCCAAUGAUGGUGAAAGGCAAUCCAGCUGCUGUUGACACAACGUUACUACCAUUUAUGAGAAGCAACUGUAUCUAUACCUCGGACGUUGCGGUGGUUCCCUACCCUGGUCCUGAUAUAUGCCGCUUCAGUCUAGAUGAUCAGCCCUGCGUUGCUCUCGGUAUUGACAAUAGUUGGCCCUUCCCAGAGCACCUAUGGUUCAAAGCAAGCGUUUCCAACGCCGAGGAUUGGUUGAGUUGAAGUUCAUUUCAUUGCUUGUUAUUUGUUGUGUGAUGAAAACUUUAGUAUUUAUAAUGUAUCCUCGUUGUCGUUGUCGGUUGAUGACCUGUUGUAUGUAAUAAAAUGAUAUGCCUGUGAUAAACUUACUAAAUUUGUGAAUGGCUUUCGAGUCGCUUCUCUGAGUGGGUGCUGCGACGAGGCAAAAAAAUAUUUUCCGAAUACAUAAUUGUACGUGCAUUGCAACAGGUUAUCGGAUGAGGCCAAUCAACAAUAGUACACUCUGCACUAUCUCUACGUCUACGUACGUAAUACAACAAGUUUUAAAAUUGAGACCAGCCACCCACCCUCACAAAGAACACUUUUUAACCUAGCACAGACUCCAGGAAAUUUAGCCAUAGUGUGAGGUGGGCCAUAUGUUAAUGUAUUCGCUGUACGUAACCAGCACCUCGAAUCCUCGAUACUACUACUAUAUAGUAGGGUGGCAUGGGCCAGAACAAGCAUUCACGUCCGGGAGUACGGCACACUCCACCAGCACGACUUCCAUCUGACACCAUAUUUCUUGGAGUCCGUGCUACAGCUAUCUCUUCAACCUUAACUCAGCCAUCGCGCGGCGGGCGAGGUGGGGGUUUGCUGAUAGUCAGUUUUCUUUGCAAACACGUAUCUUUUUUUUCAUCAUUUGAUUUUUGGUACAUGGAAAUACAUCACCAAAAUUUGACUAGAAAAGCAAGACCAAAGAAAACAAGAACCACAAGAAUACAUUUUAGAAGAUAUCCAACUUCCAUAACUGCUCCUAUAAGUUGGAUUAGUGCCUUCUCGAUGCAUUCAUUGUUGAUAUGUGCACUACUAGAAAAAGGCUUAUCCCCAAUAUCUCUACUAGUGGCGCACCAUGAUGGUGGUGCGCCACUGCUAUAUAGCAGUGGCGCACCAGAAUCAGGUGCGCCAUUGCUAUGUUUUUACUAAUGGCGCACCACAUAAGCAGUGCGCCAUUGCUAUUUUUUGGGGGUCCAUCCCCGCCCCACCAGACAUAGCAAUGGCGCACCACACCUAGGUGCGCCACUGCUACGCUACAUAGUAGUGGCGCACCUAGGUGUGGUGUGCCAUUGCUAUGUCUGGUGGGGGUGUGCCUGCGUGUGUGUGUGAGGUUAGUAAUGGCGCACCCUCCCUGGCGUGCCAUUGCUAGGGUUAGCAAUGGCGCACCAGGGAGGGUGCGCCAUUACUAACGUCUCACACACACAAACAAACCCCCCCUGGAUCGCCUUUUAGGUUUUUAAAAAAAUAAAAGAAAAUGAUAAAAGAUUGAAAAACAUUCAAAAAAAAUAGAUGCCCUUGUGUUAUGUGUUCUAGUUGUUAGGAAAAUUAACAAACAUGAAUUUUGAAUUUUUUUGCAAAAGGCCGCCGUGUUUCGGUAAAAUGGCCGUAACUUUUGCAUACGACCUCCGAUGAAAAAGUUGUUUAUAUGAAAAAUCAUCUACUUGAAAAGUUACAUCCGAAUUUGACUGCCUAUGCCAUUUAUCGAUUUUCUAGAAUCCUCAAAAACCUAACAGAAAAAAGUUACGAUGCUUUUAAGAUCUGGAGGCAAAAAAAUUCGAAAAAAAUGCAAAAAAUAAAUAAAUUAGCAAUGGCGCACCUUAUGAAUUAUGCGCCACUACUAUUUUCCUGCCUUCACAAUUCAAAAAAAAAUAGCAAUGGCGCAUCAGUGAAUAGUGCGCCACUACUAUUUUCCCACCUUCACAACUCAAAAAAUAGCAAUGGCGCACCAGUGCACGGUGCGGCACUGCUAAGCUGGGACAGAAGUUUAAAAGGGCCGGACAGCCACUUACCCCUUCAUUCUUCUCCUCCUCUCCUCCACUCCAUCUCCUCCUCUCCUCCACUCCAUCUCCUCCUCUCCGGCGACCUCCUCCUCCUCCUCACGGUGAUCCUCCUCCGGUGACCUCCUCCUCACGGUGCUCCUCCUCCAGCNNNNNNNNNNNNNNNNNNNNNNNNNNNNNNNNNNNNNNNNNNNNNNNNNNNNNNNNNNNNNNNNNNNNNNNNNNNNNNNNNNNNNNNNNNNNNNNNNNNNNNNNNNNNNNNNNNNNNNNNNNNNNNNNNNNNNNNNNNCCUCCUCACGGUGCUCCUCCUUCGGCGACCUCCUCCCUCCUCUCCUCCUCAUGGUGCUCCUCCUUCCUCUCCUAUUCACGGUCCUCCUCCUCCUCUCCGGCGACCUCCUCCUCCCUCCUCUCCUGAUCCUCACGGUCUCUCCUCCCUCCUCUCCUCCUCAUGGUCUCUCCUCCCUCCUCCUCUACUUCUGGCCACAUGUGGAGCUCCCCGGCACAAAGAACAUACCAAAUCCAGGUCGAGAAUGAAAUUUGAAAAAAAUUCAAGCAAAAAAACAAGCCAAAAAAUGAGCCAGAUCUAGAUCCAGAUCCAAAUUAAAAAUUCAAAGAUAGCAAUGGCGCACGGUGGGGGUUAGACGGUGCGCCACUACUAUUUUCCCGCCUUCAAAAUUCAAAAAAAAAUCAAAAAAAAGUUACCAGUGGCGCACCUGUAGCAAUAGUAAUGGCGCGCUACAAGGUGCGCCACUGUUACCUGCAAUACUAAUGGCGCACCAGAGGUGCGCCAUUAGUAUUUGUUACUAGUGGCGUGGUAAUAGUGGCGCACCUAUAGUGCACCAUUAAUGGCAAAAAUAGGUGCGCCACUAACAGUCCUUUUUCUAGUAGUGGUGGAGGCUCGAUCUUGCGUGCUUCUUUCUUCUUCGAGUGUAAAGAAGUAGACGUUGCUUCCUCGCAUCUAGUCUCAUGUAUAGCCUCUAUUAUAUCAACAAGUGCACUAGUCUCAUCUUUGGCCUAUAUGCUAGCUAAAAGUGCUAGAACAUCUACUAAAUUGCGCUCUAUCAAUAUAUCGAUGUACUCUUCUUCCCAAUACCAAAACUUGCAUCCAUUCUACACAAUAAAAUUUUAAGUUAGCACAACUAGUCUAAUCCGAGAGCACAACCGAAGAUUUGGUCGAGUUGUUCCUCCUUUUGCCGACACGUGGGACAUCCAGCAUCCAGGUUGUGUCAUGCAAGAAAAUGGAGUGGUAGUUGAAGCCACGUGAUGUGCAUCUUGGGUUAAACUGUAAAUAGAAUCUUACUACUCUUGAGUAACUCCAAAAGCGGCCACCGAAGAUCUUUAUUGGAUUUGUUUUUCAUCACCAGCACAUCGAGGUGAACGAUGUGCAGGUUCAGUGGGUCCUCUCGCAUUUUCACUGACAUGUGGGACCGCAUAUGAGCAAACAGACGAUGGGCUCCACGCGUCUGCUUGUGGUUGAGAAGAGAGAUAGAGGAGGGCUGAGCACAGACUCCAGGAAAUUUGUUCUACGUAACCAGCACCUCGAUAUAGGCUCGAUAUAGUGGGGUGGCAUGGGCCAUAACUAGCAUUCACGUCUAGCAGUACGGCACACGCCACCCACACGAGUCCCAUCCGACACCAAUUUUCUUGGAGUCCGUGCUACAGCCAUCUCUUCUCCCUCCUGUUUUCUCAGCCAUCGCGUGGUGGGCGGGGUGGGGGUUUGCCAAUAGUCAGUUUGCUCAACUGCGGUCCCAAUUGUAAGUGAACAUGCAACACAGCACGCAUUCCCCCUUGAGCGGCAUGCCGGACCAACCGUGUGGGCAGCGGGGUGCGACGCGAACACGGCAAGCUUUUCCUUUUGAACUUCUAACUUGUAAAAUUUGGUUCUGCUCCAUGGCGUGACCGAUAAAUAGAAAUAACGAUUUUCCCUAGAGUAAUGAGAAGUUAGGUUCUGGCGCGGUUCAUGCAUGGAGUACGUACAAAAAUUAUGAAGUUGAUGCGAAAGGUAAGAUAAUUACUAGUAGUACCAUAUACUACUACAUGGAUUUGACGAAAAGAUAAAGAUACAUACGGAUCCAUCAACGACAUCCUCACGCCCUAGUGCGCCGGGUCGCCAACCGACGUGUGAGGAGCAGCGGCGUUGGCGGCAAGCUCAACGUGCUUCUGAACAAUGUCGUCCAAGGUUGCCCUGCGGGUUAAGAAGGCCAGCGACCUACCAUCCUCCUCCGGCACAUAGUAGUCCUUGUGGACGAUUUGCGCGUAGACGUGGGUGAUUAUGUCGAUGAUGUCUUACUGCACCAGGCGCUGCACGGCGAGCGCAACCUCGAGGUGGACAUUCUCAGGCGCGACGGCGGGCAGUUGCAGGGCCACCAGUGCGUCGAAGAGGUUGUCACCAUAGAAGCCAUUAAGGGUGGCGGGCAUCGCGGAGCCUGGGCGCGUGGGCUGGAGGCGUAGGUCGUCCGCGAGCUUCUUGACAACGGUGAACUUGUCGAGGAAGCCGACGAGGACCUUGUCAAACAAGGAGAUGAAGUUGUCGUCCAAGCGGCCUCUCACCGUGGCGGCCUCAAGCAUGACCUAGAGACGUUCCUCGGUGCCGGGCCGCAGGCCGGCGUCGUGGACCAUCUGGCACAGUCGGCUGAUGCUCGCGCUCAUUGCCUCCGUGGGUCUAGCUUCUAGUCAACUGAUCUUGCGAUUGGAGUGAUCACCCUUGCCCUUGGUUAGGGUGGGUAGGUGCGUAGGAUUUCGUAGAUUGGACUGGCGGGGAGCCUUUAUAUGAGAAGUGCAGACUGCGUUGAAUUCACGUGCGUGUUGGCCAUCUACUCCUCGGCCCUCUACUGCACCUGCCUUUGGUUGUAUGAUAGGCGGGCCAGCCACCUGUUGGGCCCACGUGUCAUACAACUAAAGGCAAGUGCAAUAAGUCAAUGAAGUUGUGUCCCCCUCCGUGCCGGUGUAGUAUAGUCAUCUCACCGGACCUCUAGUUGGGGCCAAACGAGAGAACUUUGAUGUUUACUAGUUUAUUGGUCCCCUUUGCAUUUUGCGCCAAGUUUUGACCUUUGAUUUAACAAAUAGAAUGUUAAUGCAUGUAACCAAAAAUGUUGUGUAAUCCCAAAACACUUAGGCACAGUACAUUAACUCCCUCCUCAUUUCUUAUUUCGUGACAUAUCAACCAAUGAGAGAUGUGGGCCGUGCAUGCUUUCAAUGACUUGAGACUACCAAACAUGACAUGUAGUGGUUAGUUCAUUGCAUGUAAUCCUAUUAAUUAGCCAAAAUACAUUAAGUUCUCUUGCUGAUAGGAAUAAAACAAUACACCAUGUAUUUAUUUACAGAGGGGGUAGUACAUUUUUUGUGACAUGCAUUACUAGAUAUUGCUAGUCAAAUACUAAAUCCAGAUGGACGUGGUAGUACUACUAAAUCCAGACGCUAGUGCUAGUACUAGUAGUAGUAGUACCAAUGUACUAGUAGCACUGUACUACCCGUUGGUCAAAUUAUUACGUGCUGCUCCUCACAGUGAAGUGACAAGACCCUGCGCCGGAGAUGACACCUGAGUAUAGGCGCCGUGUUCAGCAUACCAUAGUCAGCCUCACCGUCUCCAGUCACUAUCAUCAUGGUUGUAGAGCUAGCCUGCAUACAAUUAGCCGUGUUCGACAUAAUUUCCCGUGUGUAGAUGCCCGUGCAUUGCACGGAACACCAAUAUUGGGGUGGACAGCGCCGGCAGUGGCCAUCGCGCCAGAUUUUUCUUAUCUGUGUAGAUGUUCCUUAUCCAGUUUGUACUGCGUUUUCCCAUUAUUUCCCUUUUCAACCAAGAGAACGGUUGGGUAUCCGGUCUCUACUACUUUCACCAUAUUAUUUCGUCUUUGAAUCAAGUCCUAGAUUCAUGCUACAACUUUCCCCCCUUUCUUCAUUGUUUGAACAAAGUCCUAGAUUCGAAUGCAUGAAGUAGCUUUACCUCUAAUAAUACUAAAAAUUUAGGUGGCUUUGGAAGAGCUGAUGGGACUAGAAAAAGAUGCACAUGCAGACACGUGGGGAGCUGGGGCAGUAGAGCAAGGCCGCUUUCGAAGAACUUAUACCUGAGGGUCGUCGGGAUGUCAGCGGCGGCAGGUCGGAUCUACGGACAAUACGGCAGGGAGGAAGAAGGGUCGGAGGACCUCCCGAGCCGGUGCUGUGUUGGACAGAACGGCACGGGCAGAGGAACGGGCCCCUCCGGCAGUUGUGGGUUUUCGUUCCGACUAAAGUAGGAGAGACAGACACCCGCUAGCCACCUUAAUCAGCUAGUGCAUGUCAGUCGGUGGAACCUGUCUCACGUAAGCGUACGUGUAAGGUCGGUCCGGGCCGCUUCAUCCUACAAUGCCGCCGAAACAAGAAACGACUAGUAGCGGCAAGAAGAAUUGGCAAGAUCAACGCCCACAACUUCUUUGUGUUCUACUCGUGCAUAGUAACUACGCAUAGGCCUGGCUCAUGAUGCCACUGUUGGGAAUCGUAGCAUAAUUUUAAAAUUUUCCUACGUUCACCAAGAUGCAUCUAUGGAGUAUACUAGCAAUGAGGGGAAGGGAGUGCAUCUACAUACCCUUGUAGAUCGCGAGCGGAAGCGUUCCAAUGAACGUGGAUGACGGAGUCGUACUCGCCGUGAUCCAAAUCACCGAUGACCAAGUGCCGAACGGGCGCACCUCCGUGUUCAACACACGUACGGUGCCGAGACGUCUCCUCCUUCUUGAUCCAGCAAGGGGGAAGGAGAGUUUGAUGGAGAUCCAGCAGCACGACGGCGUGGUGGUGGAUGUAGCGGUUCUCCGGCAGGGCUUCGCCGAGCUUCUGCGGGAGAGAGAGAGGUGUUGCAGGGGAGGAGGGAGGCGCCCAAGGCUGUUGGUUGCUGCCCUCCCUCGCCCCCCCUAUAUAUAGGCCCCUGGGGGGUGUGCCAGCCCUGGGAGAUGGGAUCUCCAGGGGGGCGGCGGCCAAGGGGGGAAGGGGUUGCCUUGCCCCCCAAGGCAAGGGGGAAGCUCCCCCCCCUAGGGUUCCCAACCCUAGGCGCAUGGGGGGAGGCCCAAGGGGGGCGCCCCAGCCCACUAAGGGCUGGUUCCCUUCCACUUUCAGCCCACGGGGCCCUCCGGGAUAGGUGGCCCCACCCGAUGGACCCCCGGGACCCUUCCGGUGGUCCCGGUACAAUACCGGUAACCCCCGAAACUUUCCCGGUGACCGAAACUGGACUUCCUAUAUAUAAUUCUUCACCUCCGGACCAUUCCGGAACCUCUCGUGACAUCCGGGAUCUCAUCCGGGACUCCGAACAACUUUCGGGUUUCCGCAUACAUAUAUCUCUACAACCCUAGCGUCACCGAACCUUAAGUGUGUAGACCCUACGGGUUCGGGAGACAUGCAGACAUGGCCGAGACGCCUCUCCGGUCAAUAACCAACAGCGGGAUCUGGAUACCCAUGUUGGCUCCCACAUGUUCCACGAUGAUCUCAUCGGAUGAACCACGGUGUCGAGGAUUCAAUCAAUCCCGUAUACAAUUCCCUUUGUCAAUCGGUAUGUUACUUGCCCGAGAUUCGAUCGUCGGUAUCCCAAUACCUUGUUCAAUCUUGUUACCGGCAAGUCUCUUUACUCGUACCGCAAUGCAUGAUCCCGUGACUAACGCCUUAGUCACAUUGAGCUCAUUAUGAUGAUGCAUUACCGAGUGGGCCCAGAAAUACCUCUCCGUCACACGGAGUGACAAAUCCCAGUCUCGAUCCGUGCCAACCCAACAGACACUUUCGGAGAUACCCGUAGUGCACCUUUAUAGUCACCCAGUUACGUUGUGACGUUUGGCACACCCAAAGCACUCCUACGGUAUCCGGGAGUUGCACGAUCUCAUGGUCUAAGGAAAAGAUACUUGACAUUGGAAAAGCUCUAGCAAACGAAACUACACGAUCUUUUAUGCUAUGCUUAGGAUUGGGUCUUGUCCAUCACAUCAUUCUCCUAAUGAUGUGAUCCCGUUAUCAAUGACAUCCAAUGUCCAUAGUCAGGAAACCAUGACUAUCUGUUGAUCAACGAGCUAGUCAACUAGAGGCUUACUAGGGACACGUUGUGGUCUAUGUAUUCACACAUGUAUUACGAUUUCCGGACAAUACAAUUAUAGCAUGAAUAAUAGACUAUUAUCAUGAACAAAGAAAUAUAAUAAUAACCAUUUAUUAUUGCCUCUAGGGCAUAUUUCCAACAAUGUGGACAUCACCCAAGAGAUCGAUUCCCAUGCCGCUUUCCAUGCUGUGGUCAUUGCCCGAGAGAUCGAUGACAAGAAAUAGUUGGUCGCGCUAAUCCUUCAGGGUAGUUUGCAUUGCCCUGUGUUUAAUUACCAGAAUGAUGCGUGUUAUCAAACCAUCUUAGGGCUAGUGCAGUGUCUUAUGUGGGCGGUACUUGCUACUUUUGUUUGAUAGUGAAUCAUGCGAACCCUCUCCGAGUUACGGGAACAGAUGUAUCCUCACCAGCUUUUGCUGUAAUAUAUGGCAUGCUUAGAUGUAAGUUUGAACUGUUUAUCAUAUCAGCAGGGCUUAUUUGAUGAUUCUUGGUGUUAGUAGGCUAGCUACUGUGCGAGCUAUAGUACUUGCAAAACACUCACCGAAGAGAAAUGUUGGGGCUGAUGAGCUCGUGGUACUCUUAUACUGAUCCGUCGUCGAUCGGACAAUAGCCCAAGCUCCUAAAAUUGUAGGCUUAGCGAUUGAUCAGACAAUAGUCGACACGGAUACAUUCAGGCCUCAUUUGGUUCAUAGGGUAGGAAAAUCGUAGCAAAAGUACAGAGACGUACAACACAAAAUCAUAGCAGUACAGAGACGUCCCUCCGUUCCAAAAUAGAUGAGUCAACUUUGUACUACUAACUUUGAAACGGAGGGAGUACAAAUCCUAGGCGGGCUAGUUUGGCCUAGUGGGUUUUAGUGAUAUGACGUGGUACAGUGCCGUCCAGUCUUCGCGUGUGGUAGCAGUACUGCGGGUAGAGUAAGUUUUCUUGAAGAAGCGGAAUUCAACGAAGUCAUGAUGGUUCCUUCGUCCGACUAACUUACAGUGGGAAAGGUUGAGCCUGCGCUACGACCGGGGUGGACCAGGAUAAUUUUGUGCAUGGCAGGUGGACCAGGAUGGUCGACGUCCCACAUGUCGGCGAAUGAAAGUAUUCUUUCCAGUAUAGUGGACGAGCAACAAGUAUUCAUUGUUUAUUUUUGAUGAAACCUAUUGUCUCCAUUGUUACGACGGAGGAGUGUGAAACACGGCAGCCCAGUGAACUUGGCAUGUGCACCACUCCCUCCUUCCUCAUGUAAUACUACCAUAGUGUUGACUAUAAGGUUGGCUAUAAGGUUACAACUUUUUCUCACUUUCUCUCUAUCUAUUUCCUCUCAAAUGUUUUUUACCUUUCUUUUUUUAGACACAUUUGUUUUCUAUGCCUCUUUUUUUAGAAUUAGUUUUUUUAUACCUAGGAGCACGUAUAGAGACGGGCUCCUGCAGAUCCCACUCCAUGACUUUGUCAAUGCCUCUCUCUCCUCCACAUAAGCGGGCUUAGGGCAUGUACAAUGGUUCUAUUGUAGGGAUGCCACAUAGGAUAAAUGAUGUGGUGGAGGAAAGAGAAAUCAUAAGAAAAGGCUUGUCUUCUCUUAUUUAAGAGAAGACAAGAGAUGAUCUCUUAGCACAAUAUGUUUCACCAUGUUUUUAGGAAUAACUAGUUAUUGAAGAUAAGGCUAAGAGAUGAUCCAUUGUACACAUGUUUUUUUGUCAUCUCUAAAUCACAUGCAAGACUUAUGAUAAGACUAUCUUAUCAACCAUUGUACAUGCCCUUAUAGCCCAGAAUUUUAAUGGUACUACUUGCUAUGAAUGCGGGCAGCUGGCGUCUGAGGGGGAGCGCGCACGGGGAGCUGGUGAGGUGGGGAGGGGUUCUGGUGGGCCAGGGCGGUAAGAAGCGGGCUUGGAAGCGGUGCGGACUCCCGCAUGGCCCACCUCACAUUAUCACCACAUAUUUCUUGGAGUCCGUGCACGGCGGGCGGGCGAUCUCUUCUCCCUCCCCCAUAUCUCUCCUCUCAGCCGACGCCCGCUGAGCGAUUAGAUUUCGGCUAUCGACGGUUUAUUAAAUUGCAGUCCCACAUGUCAGUGAAAAUGCAAGACAACGCAUGUCCCCUCUGGUGAGCGGCGUGCGAGCCGGACUAUCGGUGGUGCGAUGUGAACGUGACGCGUACGAGUUGUAAGUGUGCCGCCUUUUCCUUUUGAACUUGCAAAGCGUAACAUUUUUGUGCGAUCGAUUGAUAGAAAUCCAGAACAAAAUGACGAGGGCGGUGCUUUCCCGCGCGUUAGGCGGGCUAGUUUGAGUGAUAUGACGUGCUACAGUGCCGUACACUUGCUCCAUUUCUAUGUAAGCAAGAGUCUACACUCUUACGUGGGAGGAGUGUGAAACAUGGCGGAUCUGAUUUUGAUCAAGGGGUAACUGUUCCCUGCGAAAUAAUGGAGCACUAUUAGCGAUUAUAGCAUGAUAGUUAGGGCAUCUCCAGCGCUGGCCCUCAAAUUUACACCGGCAUCUGUCCGAGGACACUGAUGGAUGCCAUCCAAUGCUGCCCGCAUACCUUUCGACAACUAUAUGAACUAACCGGACGAAAUUCAUGCAAACAAAGCAAAUUUCAAAUUGACCGGAUGAAAUUCAUUACAUUUCGAGAACUUUUCCUAUAAACUGGACGAAAUUCAUUACAUAUUUUGCACAAACCAUACUAAAACCUACUGUAAACCUAAUCUAAACGAUCGCCGGGCCCCGACCACCAUGUCCGGCCAUGAACCCCAGAAAGCCGGCCAUUGCCUUUACCUCCUCCUUAUCUGCCUCGAUAACCUCCUCCUCCGGAGCACAAGGUUAUGAAGAUUUCCACCUCCACGUCGCCGUCAAGUGGCUAAUCGGCCGCCGAUUUUUAUCCCACCAAGCUUGGCGUCGACUGAGUGGAGGAGCGGUGGCCUUCCUGGGACCAGAGCGGUGGCGACCUACCGUGUACUACUCUUCCUCGCUGCCGGCUGCGCCCGCGCACGCGCGCCGGCUUCGUGGUCGUGGAGGCGGAGGGUGGCCGGGGGGGAGCCGGCGAUCUCCUUCGUCUGCUCCUGCGAGAGUACGUCCAACAGAGCUUUGGAGAGCGCCCGGAGCGGAGCCACCGAUGUACUUCGUCUGCUCCUGCGACAGUACGUCCAAGAGAGCUUUGGAGUUCCCGGAGGCCAUGGUUGGAGUGGUGCCAACAGAAGGAAGGGACCGGAGGAGAAUGAGUGUGGUUCUUUGGCUAUGGCUGGGAGCUGGGGCUCAAGGUAAUAUAGCGGGCGAAUGGCAAUGAGCUGCGGCAGACGGAUGGACGGCUGGCACCGAAGUAGGUUCGUCGGCAGCCGCGUGUCAUUAAUGUUUGCGGCGGACGGAAGGAUGGUCGUGGUGUCAUUAAUGCGGAGCAGUCGCUUGCACCGGGAUGCCGCGCGGGUGGCGCUCUCUCGGCGUCGCGCUGCUGCAAUGUCGGCGCCAGUGAGAGGUCGCGUCGGCCGUGAAUGCGGACGCUGCUUCAGUGACUUAACCGCAGGUGCAUUGUCUCACUGACAUGUGGGCCCAACGGGCAUCUGGCCCGCAUGUCAGUGACACACCAACUGCACCUGCAGUUAAGGAUGGUGAAUGCGGCAUUAACGUUCUGGAGAGACGGUGAUCAUUUCAGGCGAGAAGCACGCGCUAGCGAUGGAAGGGGUUUCAGUAGGCCAGGGCGGUCAGACGCUGGCGUGGUGGUAAAAUGUGAACUCAUGGAUGAUGAGCCUUUCAAGCGUAUGCGGCACGUAUUGACAAACAUGCGUCCAUGCAACCGCUCUUGUCGCCAGCUAGCCUUCGAUGACCACCAUUAGACACCACACAACCAUGCAUAACUUACGAAUAAUGGACGAAUCGAUCAGACACACACUCGUGUGUAGUGGCACUAUGAUCGGUUGCUCACGAUAGUACAUACUCUGCACCAUAGUACCCUCUCUAGCUAGGCUGUUUUUAGAUUGUCCUUGUGAUGGACGAUAUACAUGAGCAAGGCGUCGAGUCACGAGUAUGACCGCUUGUGUUGAGCCAGGUGAAUACAUGCUCGGUGUUCGAGGAGGCCUCCAGCAAACGCCUAAACAGUAAUGUCACAUACGCAUAAUUUUGUUUUUUAUUUCUUUCUCCACUGACAGGUAGGCCCGCAUAGAUCGAUAGAUAAAGAACACGAGCUGAUGAGGUGCAUGCGGACUGUUUGACUGGUCAACCAGACAAAUACGGAGCUAUACGCUGAGCCAGUGACCGUAUAAUCACCGUAUCUCAUAUACAAUGAUCAAAGUGAGCUAUAAAGACAAGUUCAAUCACCGCCAAUGCAUUUUACUCGGUAAUAAAUGACCAGGAUUGAAGGGGAAUCCAAAUUUCCUGCGUCUUCUGUCCUUGAGCUCUUGACAAACCAAUGCACUUUACGGUUGUGCGGCUACUCCACCCCAGAGCUGUCACCAAGCGUCGUUCAUGCCACCGCGCCGCACACUAACCGGUAAGGAAGCGAUGGCAUCCCGCCGCGCCGAGUUCAUCGCCGCCCAUGACCGCACACGGAAUGGUAGGGAAGCGGUGGCAUCCCGCGGUGCCAAGUUCAUCGCCGCUCGCGACUCACACCUAUGUGGGCGGAAUUUGAAGCUGCCAAGGCCGAAUGGGCGGUAGAGCAAGAGGCGGCCAAAGCCGCACAGAGGGACCGGAAAAGUCAGAAAGCACUCAAGAAAAGAGAGGCCCGCUGCCGCAAGAAAGAAGAGGACGCACGCGCUGCUGCGGAGAGGUCGGCGGAGAUCCAAGCACGGUGGGGUGUCGCCGACAAAGCCGUUAAGGAGAACGACGGCGUCUGGCCAGCAUGUGAGAAGUCGUAGUACUAGUAGUUAGUGUGUGUGUCUGUGUCGCCCGUAUGUUUGUUUAAUUAAUUACGAGCAUGUACCAGUACUACUAGUUACUACUGUAGUUUUUAGAGCAAAUUACGAGUAUAUUAGCCUAGACUCAAUGGAAAUAUUCCUAUCCUAUGCAUCAAAUGGCAUCUCUUUCUCUAUAGGAAUUGAGAUGCAUGUCAUCUCACUUCCUAUGAUUUUCAUAUUCCUAUAAAAUUCCUAUCCUAUGAACCAAAGGAGGCCUCUGCUGGAGUAACUACUGUAGCUAGCAGUACUGCUGGUACAGUAGUUUUCUUCAAGAAGCGAAAUUCAACGAAGUCAUGAUGGUUCCUUCAUCCGAGCAACUUCACAGUAGGUAAGGUUGGGCCUGUGAUUUGACGGCUCAUUAGUAAUUAGUGCGGCGCGACGACCGGGGUGACUCUCCCUUGGAGUUCUGCGGGCAUGGCAAGUGGACCAGGAUGGUCGAUGUCCCACAUGUCAGCGAGCGAAAGUAUUCUUUUAGAUAUCGAGGAGCAAGGGAACCGCGUGGUAUAGUAUCACUGGUGAUUUAUAUUUAUUUAUUAUUUCUGAUGAAUGCUAGCGUUUCAACUCUUACGACAAAGGAGUGCCAAACACACGGCACGUGCUGGAUGUCCCACACGUCAGCGAAAGGAGUGGGACAUGAACAGCGUGGUAGAGCGUCUCCACUUCUGGGUCGGAGACCACACGUAGUAGUACUACUGUACUAGUGGUAUGAACGAUACAAAGUGCGACCCGUAGAGAAAGACACGUCUAGUUGGAAGGUCUCGGGGCAUACACGUAAACAAAUAUAAAACCUAAUAUGUGCCUUCAAUUAAUAUAGUAGUAGUAGAGUACUUAGUCACGUACUCCAUAACAUCACCGGGCAUUGCACGUACAACAUUUAGUGGUAGUAAGAGACAAAUGCCUAUAUUCCACGCAUGUUCAUACUAUUUGUGCCUUUCUACUUCACUUACUGCGCUACAUUACACAGGUUCGCACCUCCACUAGUGGGUACAUGUUCGUCUCGUAGUUCCAGUACCACAUGUUCUUCAUAUAGAUGGAACGAUCCUUGCAUGACACGUGCACCUUGAUGCUAGAUGUCUCGCGUGUUGGCAAAAGGAUGAACAAAGCUCACGUAAAAAAAAUAGAGUGGAAGAACAUAGAUUCCCGACGACCAAGAAGGAGCAAGGAACCUCGUGGUGGAGCGUCUGCACUCAUAAUAUUUUAUAUUAUUCAGCGAUAUAAAAUCAACCAAUCAUCUCCACAGUGGACUGGAAGAGUACGAAACACGGCAGCCCAGUGUAGUUACAUCAUACUAGUACAUGGCUAACCCACGCUAUCACCAUAUUUCUUGGCUUCCGUGCGACACCUAUCUCUAGUAAUCCAGCAUCCCGUAUUGCUUCUCCCUCCUCGUCUCUCUCAAAGUGCGGCGGGCUGGCGUUUUUGCCAUCUAUUGAGGUCGGUUAACUCAUCACAUGUUAGCGACAUGCCAAGAGCAUUCUAAAAAAAAUCCUUUCUCGUUCCGUUUUCAAAAAGAAAAAAAUCCUUUCACGUACGAAUUUGACUGUAUGCUUUGAGCAACUUGCAUGUCCUAUACUGCUCCUGUUUGGAUACUCUAACUUAGCUAGAGGUUAGAGUAACUCAUGACUAACCCUGAACUAACUGUAGCCAAAGAGGAGUUUGGGUGACAGGGUUAGAUUGACAAUAAAUGCACUUGAUGGAGAGAGAAAAGUGAUUUUUCAGUGGUCCUAAUGAGAACUAUCUCCAGUUAGCACCUCUUGGGUAGGAUAGUUUUUUUGGUGGGUUCGGUGCAACUUGCCCCAAUUUAAACCCUCAUGCUUGGAUACUUUAAGGCUAUUUGAGCCUCAACUAGCUCAAACUAACUCUAACCCAUGGAUCCAAACAGGGCCUAUGGCCAGCCUAGACGCGGAGCAGUAGCGUGCAUCGGGAAGCGGCACUCUCUCGGCCGUCGCGCCGCUUCAAAGCCGGCGCCAGUGAGAGGUCGCCUCCGCUCUGGCCGGGCAUUAAUGCGGCACUGACGCUCCAGGGCAACGCUGACCGUUUCAUGCGGGAAGCGUGCGCUGGCAAGGGACUAUAGGUUUUGAACCGUUUCAGGUGUAGUACUCGUAGUUUGCAAAACUACUCAAUUAUUACACUUAGUUUCCUAAGAAAUUGUGGUAAAAAACGUUACUCCACAGCCUGCUUCCCUUCUCCUUCCUCUUCCACCGCCCGCGCACGUCCACGGGAAGCGACCGGUCAACCCUUAUAUAGGAGUGCUAGCACAAAAAGAUGCAUGCAUGACCACUAAAAUUUCCAGAUUAAAGCACCGCUCCGGCGGGAGUAUGGCGUAUGUUGUUACCUUCGGUCGGGCCAUGGCUACCGGGCGACAGCAACUAGAGAAGAGGCGGCGGGAGGGGAAUGAAUGCAGCUACUGUUUGGGUUCGCCGUCUGGCUUAAAUAAAUGUGCAGCAUCACGUGUACCCGCGGGUGCACAAAUUGUAACAUACGUGUAUGCUUAAGUGGGCGUCACGUAACUGGUGUGUGUGUGUGUGAGAUUCUGAGAGACAGAGUGCGUGUGUGCGACUCUACUCUUCGGACAUGUACUCAACUUUUUGCAUCGGGAUAUAAGUAUAAUGGUAUUUACUUUAGCUAGUGAUUUAUGUGGCCAUGUUAACGUGGUUGUGUACAAAAAAUGUGACUUCCUGCUCGUGAUUUGCGUUAUAUAACUACAAGCAAGAUGCUCGUGCAUUGCACGGAACAUUAAUAUGCAUUUUCUUACAAAACACCUGUUGUGAUUUAUCCAUGCAGGAGUAAUCCCAUGUGUAAAAACUAAUGAUAUUUCGAGAAUUUUAUCGGAAAACUGUUAUCUCGAGAAUGUCAUCGAAAAAAAUGAAAGAUGAGAGAUAAGUGAGGAGGAGUGGAGCGUGGUGGUGACUGGUGGUCGGAAUGGGCGGAGGCAUGGGGAUGGACGGCGUCGGCAGGCGGCGGCGGCCACCAUGCUAGAUUGUUCCAGAGACUUUCUUUUUUAAUUGCUCAGCAAUGAGGUUGUGGGAGAUAAGGAUGUGGAGAGAGGUGCGGGUAUCUUUUGUAAAAUUAUCAUAGUUUGCUUUCUAUCUGUCAGAUAUAGAUCAGACGGUCUAUAUUACAAGAUGGCAGGCACACCAUCAUCGCCAACUCAGCUUUUUAUAAGGGUACAGAUGAUAAGUUUGCUAACUACUAAAGUAAAGUGGAAUUUGUCCAUGUUAUACAAGUAAAUUAUGGUGAUUGUGUAUCAUACAGGUAAGGGUGGAUGAAGGGUGGUAGGAACAAAUGCUCCGCCUAGAGCAUGUGUGUGUGAGAUGGAGUCUCAGUGUGUGUGUGUGUGUGUGUGGGUGGGUGGGUGUGUGUGUGUGUGAGAGAGAGAGAGAUGUAGUCUUAGUGUGUGUGCGUGUGUGCGUGUGUGUGUGAUGGAGUCUCAGUGUGUGUGUGUGUUUGUGUUUGUGUGUGUGUGCGGAUGGGUGCGUGCGUGCGUGUGUGUGUGUGUUUGUGUGUGUGUGUGUGUGGGUGUGUGGGUGUGUGUGUGUGUCGCGGGGUCCUCGGUGGCGGAUGUAAUUUAAGUGUGCAUGGCUUCAUCAUAGAGAGGUGAUGUGUAUGGUAGAGGCCACCAACGAUGGGGUGCGAGAGAGAAAAUGCCCGUAGAGAGGGAAGAGAAGGUGUGUGCGCGUGAGAGUAGUCGACAUCGAGAGAACGUGUUUGUUCGAGAGACACCGAGGAAGACUACUAUAUAUCGAUGGUGCAUGUAGGCGGGAAUUAAACGAAGGGAUGAUCUUAUUGGUUUCGGGGAUAUAGGGGAAGAGUGAGAGGGGGUAGCUAGAAGGAGAUUGUUAAGUGUGAGUGUGUGUUUUACCCAUCCAGGCGGAAGUUAUGUGCACAUAAGAAGAGAAUGAUUUGAUGUGGCGUUAGGGUUGAGGGUAAUUAACUACGUAUGGAGACAUAGAGAUCUUGAACGUGCAUGUGUGAGAGGUAUACAUGUAUACGUUGGAUGUGUGUGUGUGCGCGCGCAUGAUCGAGAUAAAAGAAAGAAGACAUAAGUCAUAAGAUCAACGACAUGGGAGAGACGGAUCGGUAUGACAAUAUGCAUGCAUGUGAGAAUGUAGGCAAGAAGGCCCGACAAUUGAGCAUGUGUUUUUUGUCUUUAAGAGAUAGUGGCGUGGGCUGGAGCAUGCAUCUAUGGCGAGCAGAGGGAGUGAGGCACAAUGAUUGUGCAAAAGAGAUCAACCUAUAAAUGAAAGAAGGUUGAUGGAGAAACAGAUAAAUAGAAAGAUAAAGAUGCUAGCUAGUGUGCGUUAGAGAUAGGAGUCAAGUGGAUUAGAAGGCUGAGUUAUGUGUGUGGGUAUGAGAGAGAGAUGAAGAAAGGGUGCAUGUGACUCACAUACAAACAAAUAUCGGAGAGAAAUGAGAUCCCGAGAGAUGGAGUUUUGUAUCUGCGAGAGAGAAAUAUAUUUCACAACGUGAGUGAUAGCUAGAGAGACAUAUGAGGGAACGCAAGAUAUCUCUAGGGAGAGAGAGAGUGUGUGAGCGACAUACAAGAGAACAGUGGAGAAAUAUGAGACCCUGGGAGACAGAGUUUGUGUUUGUGUAUGAGAAAGAGAUAUUUAGGAGGAAGAGUCGUAGGUUCUCAUACCUAAGGAGUGAAAGAAAUCUCUGUAUGAGGGGUGUGUGAGUGGCACACAGGGGAAUAGUAGAGAGAAAUGAGACCCCGGGAGACAAAGUUUUGUGUUUGUGUGAGAGAAAGAGAUUCCACAUGGAGAAUCAUAGUUAGAGACACAUAGCAAGGAGCGAGAUAUACUUAGAGAGAGAUAGAGUGAUGAAGGUCGAGGGAGAGAGUACCGUCAGUGUGUUCCGAAGAUAAAAUAGCAUUGUCGACAUACAGGUAGCACGAGAGAUACCCGAGAGACGAUGAACGCGUAUAGGUCUAGAGAGAUAGUCCUAUAUAAGCAUGAGUGAUAGUUAUAUGAGACGAAUAUCUGGAUUAAAUGGGAUUCAAAUAUUUAAACUGGAGAUCACGACAUCGAUAAUAUCAUAACGCAAAUUGGUGUAUCAAACAUGCAUAUUCAUUUGAAUUUGGGGACAUGUGUAAUGUUAUAUAGUUUAUCAAUAUUGGUGAUCCAUAGAUUCUUUAAUUAGAAACAAUGCAUGGUUUAUAUGCAAUUAAUGUCUAAACGGGAUUACACUAUAUGUUGCGUGUGUGAAACACAUUAUACAUGUUUGAGAAGUAAAAAAAAACCCGCAUGAAACACACAUUAAUUGGAGACAGUUAGCGAGGAAUGCAUACAUUGGAUUUCAACAUAAAGUGGUUUCAAAUAUUUGAAAAUCCAAAUUGAUGGAUACAACCUUAUGAAUCUGAGAUCAUGCCAUUUGUAAACCAUAUUUAUGUAUAAAGGGUGUUGUGCUUUUGAACGUAUAUAUAAAAAAUGAUGUAUAUAGAAUUUUAUUCCAAUUGAAAAUGGAUCCCGCCCGAAAAAAAUAGAAUACAAACGGGAUUCGAAUUGAGUUGGCACGGUAAACGUGCACUCUGCAAAAUUAGAACGAAGAGGGGAAAGUCGCAGUAACCGCCCGAAACCAAAAUCUGUGAGAUGGAAAUUACUACUGCCUAUCCCUGCCACGCAAAGCCUAUCUGCUCAAUUUCUAUAGGUUUCAAUAGGGGUAGGUUUGUAAUCUCACUCAAACGUGACAUAACCGCCUCUCACCCGGAUUCAUACACGGUGGCACCAAAACACAGUGUGUCCUCGGCCGAAAUCGAUUCCCUCCCCGAUUCAUACACGGUGGGCGCCAAAAACAAACUCUCGUCGGCAAAUAUUCGGUGUAUGCGAGAUUACCGUCCUAUCCCCAACCGACUAAUAUUGCUGUGACGUAGGAAAUUUGAAACGGGGGCUAAGUUUGUAAAUUUCCUCGCAUUUGAGACAAGCGCGCCCUGAAGACAUGGUCCCCCCUUCCUCUCUACCCCCAUUUCCCCAUUCGUACUCUGUGGGCGCCAAAACACCCUCUCCACCCCAGCCUCCUCCGUCCGCCACCCCAUCCACCGUCGUCCUCCUCCACCAUGCUGGAGCUAAUACCCUGACGCCGUCGUACAUUACAAGAGAUUGACCUCUCUCAUCCACGGCUUUGGACCGGGAUCCUUGCAUACCGUCCUCUCGCUUCAUCCCCGCCGUCGUCCACCUUGCCGGUGCCGCUCCUACGACCGUCUCGUCCACCGUGCCCUGCCGCCACCGUCUACGCUCCUAGAUUUGCUUCCACGCCACCGACAGCCAUCGCUACCGCAGCACCGUCAAAUUCUCAGCAGAUGCAUACACGGCGCCACACCAGAGGCGGUACUCUUUCGUAUCUGCUCAACUUAUUUAUCGCAGCAAGAAAAUAGAUCGCUACUGCUUUACUCGGAUUUCUUGUCCAUCACUUACUUGCUAGUUGAAAGCAAACAUUGGUUGCGAAGUUGCCUUUGUCCGGUUUGCACCUUGAGAUCCGCCAUGGCACGCUCAACACUAUACUCCCAAUGCUUAUUGUUUUCCCCUUUUAUAUUCCACACUAGUUAAAUCACAGUAGACUAAAUUUCAAAAUUGGGUCAGUCGAUUUUUUAGAGCUCGCCGGUGCGAACGAAGGGGCUCGGGUGGGGAUGGUGGUUGUGGGGGGCGGUGGUGGGGCCUCGCCAAACGAAGAAAACUCGACGCGGGUGGGGGCGGGGGUGGGGUGGGGGUGGUGGAGGAACACAGGCAGUAGGGGCCGGUGGUCUGGCUAGCGGCCCGUGCGGUGUUCUGUAUGGGAAGAAUCAGAGACGAGGAAGAAGAAGGGUUAGGAGACGUAGGAUCUUCAUCCAACCGCCUGAAAUGGUGGACUGACUCAAAUGACAAAAGUCACAUGACUUGCAUGCAGACAUGCCUUUAUAUUCAGUACCAUCAUCAUACCUGCUUAGCACUGCUCCUGAAUCCAUCAAGCUAAACAAUGUGCCACUCAUAAUUCCAAACUUGUUGCUCAAGUACGAAUCUGAUAUGAUGCUGAUAUUACUAAAACAGAUAACAUUUAUUUGGUCGGCUAAUGUUCCUACUUUACUUUCGAAAAGCACGUGCACCACAUAUAGAGAGACAACAGGGAGUUGCUUUCUUGAUGCGCUCUGGUUCAUCAUGUGUGGGCACUGCGCAACGAACAUUUUAUUAUCCAAAAUCUGCUUGCUCUUCUUUAGCUUGUUCCUCUUCCAUUCUUCUUUAAUAAGUACUCUCUCCGUUCCUAAAUACAAGUCUUUGUAUAGAUUCCACCAUGGACUACAUAUGGAGCAAAAUGAGUGAAUCUACACUCUAAAAUGUAUCUAGAUACAUCUGUAUGUGAUCUAUAGUGGAAAUCUCUACCAAGACUUAUAUUUUGGAACGGAGGGAGUAUGAUAGUAGUACAGUAUGUUCCUUGUAGUGAAGAUGAGCAGGGACAUUUGCAGUGUAGAGGUCUAUACGGUCGGUUGUGAUGGACACUUUGAACUCUUCGGGCCUCUUUGAUUCGUAGGAUUUUGUAAACAUGGGAAUAGGAUUUGUAGUGGCCUGCCCACUUGAAUCCUAUAAGAAUAGCAAGGAAAUGCGGGGAGCUAUGUCGCCUUUGAGAGUUACACUGAUAUUAACAGUACCGCACCUUCAGUUGAGGGGAGAUGGUAUCCGAAGCCUUUCUAGCCAUACUGGCAAUACUAGCACAUAUAUUUCAGCAAGUUCCACUUUGCUGAUUUUACUCUAAUGCUUACGGUUUUCCCGUUAUAUCUACACUAUGAUCUCUGUAGCUGCUUUGUGUCACACUAGCAGAAGUCCACUCUUGAAGCUAAACACUGCAAUGACUUACAAAAUUGGCACCAAGGCAUUGAGUGCCAUUCUGGAUGCAAUGAAACUCAUAUGCUCCCCACAUGUUGACUCUUGUUCAGAAUAUGAUCCUAAUGACUCUUGUUCAAAAUUGCCACAUAUAGAGAGACAUCCUGGAAUUGCAUUUCUUUGGGCACUGUGAUUCAUCAUGAGUGGGCAACCAACAUUGUAUGCAAUUAAGCGGAACCUCAAGAAUAUGCUUCCUCUUCUGUUCUUUAACAUGUUCCUCUUUUGUUAUUCUGUAUUUAGUACGUACAGUAUGUUCCUUGUCAGGAAGGGGAGCAGGGACAUCUGCAGUCAACAGCUGAUAGAGCUGGCCUGUACGUGAUCGAUAGGCUUUCAAUUACUAGCGGCAAUACAACACCGUAUUUUCAAGCCAGUUCCACUUUCCCAAUUUAUAUAUCGUGGUUAUGGUGUACCCCUUUUAUGUGCACUAUGAUCUGCCUAGUUGUUGUGUGCUCUUGUUAUCAUGGUUUGGCAAUAAACUCUCUAUACAGUAUAUUUUGAACCUAUCAUCUGCCAACUAUCCUUACUUCUGGAGCCAAUCUUUUUGUGUACUUGUGCCAGAUUAUAUAAAUGCAUGCACCAUAUUACAGCACACAUGAGCUCUCUCAUCAGAAUCCAGUGAUAGCACACAAGUGUUUACACGGGCGCCACUAUAUUAGAAUAUCCUCUGCAUUACAAAGAUAAUCUCACAACUAUUUAUGUUUUCAUGGUUCUCAGAUAUUAUACGUAAUUACAGUGAAUAUCAGAAUCCGCGCAUUAGAAGAAUAUUGUGGAACACUGCAAUGACUUACAAAAUUGGCACCAAGGCAUUGAGUGCCAUUCUAGAUGCAAUGAAACUCAUAUGCUCCCCACCUAUAGAUUCUUGUUCAGAAUAUGAUCCUAAUGACUAUUCUAACCUCGAGGAGUCAAAGGCAGAUGGCCUGUCAUGUUCACCCAUCAAGGUGCCUGUUUUAAUUUCGCAAGGUUUUAUUGAUUGCGCGUAUCUUGCAUAUGUUGUCUUGCAUUUCUUCUACUUUGUUGCACCGCCAUCUACUUAGUUUACUCAUCAUAUAUGUCGAGAUUCCAUGCCCAUCCAUUAUCAAUAAAUAUUCCAUCUGUCAUCAUACCAUGUUUUUCCACUCAAAUGAUGUUCUUGUGCAUCAGACAUCAAAAAGGAAGAGGGUGAUUGCCGAACCUGAAGGAGCACCAGCAAAGUCCUUAAAAACAUGGUUGUGCCGGAGAAAUCAGAUGCACCCCACUUAUAUUGGGUGUACAACCAGUGACACAAAACGUAGGACCGACUCCAGCAGACCGUACCCAUACUUCACUGGCCACACCACUAGCCCCACCACACAGGACCUGCACUCCAGCAAAAGGUAUACCGAUUUCAGUUGCCAUAGCACCAGCUGUACCACAGAAAAAUCCCACGCCAGCAAAAAGUACAGCAAGUCCAUCGGCCGAAGACCUAUCCCAACUGCAGAGACGGCCAAUUACUGCAGAUUGGAACCCCAUUCCAUUUAUUCCCAGUUUAAAAGACAAUGCUUUCAAUGUUGUUAGGGACUACGUGCAUAUAUUCCCAUCAUUGGAAGAUUAUAGUGAAGACAAACACCAUUUUCACAUCUUCCUGUCCCACUUACGUGUAAGUGCUAUUAUUCAUGGUGAUUAUUUUCCUGUUUUCUGUUGAUUGAACACAUCAGUGAUUUACAUUACAUUGUUGUAAGUAGGUGAGGGUCAAUCUGGAUAGUCAUGACGAGCAAAGCUUGCUUGCACUUUUCAAGGAAGCAUUGUAGCAGUAUUGGUGUUACCUGCGAAAAUCACACUUUGAUGGCAAGUCUAUAAACGAAUUUCUGGUGAAGUCUCCUGUGCUAAAUUUAGAAGACAUUGAAUGGAAAAACCUUGUUAUGCACUGGUCUCGUUCCGAGGAUGAGGUACUGUCUGUGAUAUCGCAUGACAAUUUGAACUUCUACUUUUCCGCAUGUGCCUUACGGAUCUUUUUUGCAGGAAAUCUGCUCGAAAAAGAAUUCUGAUUUGAAAAGAACGACAGGAUAUCGCGAAUAUGCUGCCCGCUGCUUUGCUCUUGUUAGUACAUGUUGUCCUGUAUCACUGUACUUGCAUACAUACCUGGUUCAUUAUGUGACAGCAGUAUGCAUGAUAGCUUGCUUAUCAAUUGUUCGCUCCAAAUUAUCUGAUCUGUAUGAAUGGUUACAUUAGUGUAGAAUAUAUCCAAUGCCAAUGAAAAAAUUUAGCUCUGCAUUGUUCUUGUAAGUACCUGUUGUCCCUUAUCAGUGUACUUAUAUUCACAUGUAGUUGUUCAUGUACCAUCACUCUGCAGUUUAAUUUCCUUUGCCAUCCAUUUUCUACACAUAAGAUCUAUAUUUACUCAUUGGUCGGGGCUGUUAACGGGUUAUCGGAUCCAAAACCGGACCCGAUAGCUUAACGGCUUUCCGUUACAGUGGAUGCCAUGUGUUGGUCACCCUUGACGAAAGCACUUCUGUGACGCGCGAUUUAUCGUCAUGGAAGUGGACACUUCCGUGAUGAUAAAUUUGGUAAUGCCAUGGAACACUUCUACGACAGCACAGGUAUGACUAUCUUGAUUCUGUCAUAAAUUUGUCAUGGAUGUACAUGCAUGACAGAAAACGUGACCUACUGUGACAAACACGUAUCAUCACGGAAGUGUAUUUUUUUGUAGUGGAGGGGGAAAGAGAUAUUCCAUCCACUCGAUAAUGCAGUGCAUGUAAAUUUUUUUAGAAAUCAAACUUUGGAAACAAUGAUCUGGUUUACGCAAAUGUUAUUUAUAUCUACAAUACCAAAGAUACAUCAUGUGAAACUACACCUCAUGAUGAAUCUAAUGGUAUAUGUUUGUCGUUCUAGAUGUAAAUGUUUUUCUCCACGUACAUGGUCAAACUUUAUGAUGUUUGACUUUUCAAUAAAUCUAUAUGCUAUGGACCGAAGAGUGUGCCUAAGUCGAGAGAGAUCAAGUGUGUGUGAAGGAGAAUGAGUGAGUGUGCAAAAAGAGUGUGUGUGUGUGUGUGAAAGAGAAAGGGACAACAAACGAUAAAUUAGAGAGAGUGUGUGUUUUUUCGUUUCUUAUGCAAACAUAUCACGCAUGAAUCUCCGAGAUAGAAAAGUGAGGUGGCGAGAUACACGAAGAGAGCUAGUGCGUGAUUGUUUGCAACGGAGAUAGACACCCCUAUAGCACAUGUCAAAUAGAGGUCUGGCCAACAAGGAACAAAGGUCGAGAGGGACACAUGGAGAACAUGGACGCAUGGGAAGGGAGAGAGGGUGUGUUUGUGAUAGAGAGAUCCCCUCGAGAUCGUGAGGGGACUUAUAUGGGUGGGAGAUUGAGGGAGGUGCGUGCGAGAUAGAAAGAUGCCCCGAGAGAAAUCGAGAUAGACCAUGCACAUGUUUGUGAUGGAGACUAAGAUUAGCUAGUCAUAUACAUAUAGGGGGGACUGCGUGUGCCUACAUUUGAGUGAGAGACCAUCAUACUUGGCUAGGCAUGAGAUUGUGUGUGUGUGUGCGUGUGAGAUGGAGAGAGAACGAGGGAGAGAGAUAAAGUUUUAGAUGGGUCUAUCGAGUGCGAGUGAGAUAUGCGUGUGUAUGUGUGACCCAGGUAGAUGGAGAGUUUGAGAGAGAGAGGGAAGAGCUCCGAGACGACGGAGUGGUGCGUGAGAGAGUUACGGGCAAUGAGCCAGGGAAUUUGUGUGCGUACGAUGAGUGCACCCAAGAUAUUUAGCUUGGACUAGAGAAUCAUACAUAGUGUGCGAAAGAGACCUAUAGAUGGAGUAUAUAUGCAUGCGAACUAGAAAGACCCCCCCACACACACACACAGACAAAGAGAGAAGAGAGAGAGAGAGACGGAGAGAGAGGGAGAGGGACCAACAAGGUUUGUGUGUUGGAUGCGUGCGACAGAAUUGAAGAUUGUCGGCGAGAGAGAGAGAGAGCAGGAGUCCAGGAGAGGGGAGGUCGCGUUUUAUGCAUCAAAGACUGAUAUAAACCAUGUUUCGAUAUAAACUUGCAUUCAAAUAUUUAAAUUGGAGAACAUGUUGUCUGCAAUCCACACAUGAACGGAGAUAUGCGUAUAUCAAACAAGUUCAUUAAUUUGACUCUCAACAUGUUCAUGGAGUACUAUAAUACUGUACAACAUGCUACUCGAUUGAGGUGUUUAAUUUUGGAUUUAGUUCACUAUUUUCACCUGGUGAACAAGCUAUUUCAUUGAAUCGAGAUAUUUCAUUUUGGGUUUGAUUCCUGUUUUUUGAGUGGGUCAACUAUUUGUCAUAUAGUAAAUCGCUAGGAACGAGCAUGUAAAAAUACAUUACUCCCGAGCAUCAUCUCUCCAUCUAAAAAAGAAGUGGCAAACUAAUAUUUCAAAAUUUGAUUCGAAUCGACUUGAUAAGGUAGACAUGGAUGCUCGUUCUCCCAAAAUUUGAACGAACCAUUAAACACCCUCUGCUCGGUGGAAUUCGCCCGAGCAAAUAAAUGGGAGACGCGAAAUUACCGGCCUAUGUGGGACACGCAUCAAUUGGCCCAUUGUACAUCGAGGGUAGGUUCAUAACUUCAUCCAAGCGCGCCUUCUCCUCGGCCGAAAUGACAUGUACCGAAUAAUUCAUAAACCAUGAUCGGCAAAACACCCUCUCCUCGCCCGAAAUAGCUCGCGCCCACUAUUUCAAAACACGCUCUCCUCGCCCGAAAUCGCUCGCACCCACUAUAUUUCAAAACACACCCGCCUCGCCCGAAAUCGCUUGCGCCCACUAUAUUUCAAAACACGCCCUCCUCGCCCGAAAUNNNNNNNNNNNNNNNNNNNNNNNNNNNNNNNNNNNNNNNNNNNNNNNNNNNNNNNNNNNNNNNNNNNNNNNNNNNNNNNNNNNNNNNNNNNNNNNNNNNNNNNNNNNNNNNNNNNNNNNNNNNNNNNNNNNNNNNNNNNNNNNNNNNNNNNNNNNNNNNNNNNNNNNNNNNNNNNNNNNNNNNNNNNNNNNNNNNNNNNNNNNNNNNNNNNNNNNNNNNNNNNNNNNNNNNNNNNNNNNNNNNNNNNNNNNNNNNNNNNNNNNNNNNNNNNNNNNNNNNNNNNNNNNNNNNNNNNNNNNNNNNNNNNNNNNNNNNNNNNNNNNNNNNNNNNNNNNNNNNNNNNNNNNNNNNNNNNNNNNNNNNNNNNNNNNNNNNNNNGUCUGUGAGACAUGGUUCCCCCUCCCAAUUCCCCAUUCAUACCUCGUGGGCACCAAAUCACCUUCUCCCCAGAAGCUCCCUUCUCCCGAGCCGCGAAACCUCAGCCCCUCCUCCAUGGAGCCCCCCACCGCACCAAAUUCACAGCCGCCCUCCUCUCUAAUCCCGGAGACGCUGUCCAUUUGCCGUCGUGCACUGGGUUGUGUGCCUCUUACUCCGUGCUGCCAGAGCUGCCUCGACGACGGCCGCGUGAACCGUACCGGAGCCGAUUCACCCCCGCCGUUGUUCACGGUGCCGGAGUGGCUCCAACUUUGGACCCGUCCAGAGCCCCGACGCUGCUUCCCCGUAGCCCUCAACCAUCGCGACAUCUCUACUUCCUUGUCGCCGGUAGCCACCGCAACUGUGCCGGCCUCACCGACUAGGCAGCUAGAGCUGCCUACUUCACCGGGCCGCUAGAUAGGUCGCACCCUCAUCUCAAAUCACUUUAUUUAGGCGUCAGUUGUCUGAAUUUUUAUUCUGGGCCAAUCGAUUCCCAAUGGGAGGCAGCACCCCUCGAUCCGGUGGAGCUCCUAGGCUGCCGGUUGGCUGGUGUCUAAUGUAAGGGUGCGGGGGCGCAAGUUCGCCGCGGAAGCAGCACUUAGAUGGCUAUCUUAGAGUUGCGUGGGUUGAAGGUACUGCCGCCGCCGGAUCUGGAUGACGGCGAGUCUUUGUGGAUUGGCCCGGGGGCGGCACAACCACGGCAGUGCGGUGGGCGGCGGAGCGGGGUUUUGGUCGGGGCCACGGACGGCGGAGGCAGGCUGCUCUGCCGGUGGUCGCUGGCUCUUCGGGGAAGAUUUCAAACAGUGUCAGCCGGGAGGCACAAGACGGCCAUCAAGCCAUCUGGCGUAGAUCGGACAGUGCCAAAAUAAAAUAAAAUCGUGUGACCCCAAUUUAGUCUUCAGUCAAUAGACGUGUGACCACUCUCGUACCUUGCUGUUGAUCUCUUAGGGUAUUUCUACAGAUCAGAGAGAUGUGUCGUUCUUAACAUUAUGCCUUUUCUGCAUCUUCAGCCACACCAUCUUACGACUCACCGCAGCUGCUCCAACAAGGGAAGCAUGCACCAAAAGGGAGCUAUAGUCCCACUCAACAGUUCCCUGCAUCGAAUGCGCAUGCCCGACAUGGACAUCCACAACAACUGCAGGGCCAUCGACCAGUCAGCACAUGAUGCUCACUCCUAUGGAUGGCGGCCAGAUAAGUUGUACCCUCAUCUUACAUGUGUGCAACAUUUAUGGCUUUGUUAUUCAUCUAAGCAUUGAAAAUAGAUUAUCACAUUUCACUGUAUAUUCAUGCUGAUCUCUUACGGGUCUUGUUCAGGAGUUAACGAUGUUCCAUAGUUCAGCUAAGAGACUUGUGCUUUAGGUAACGCUGUUCCAUAGUUAUCAUCCAUCAGCCAAUGCUAUCCCACAGGCUAGUGAUUAUAGUAUUAUACCACUUCUAGUAUAACCUAUGUUGUUCCUUAAUACUUUUGUGUGCCAUCUAGUUAAUCUCGAGUACAAAUGAAACAUAUUCUAUAGCUUUCAUCUGUGUUCUCCCUUUAGUUUUUGAGACCUGUUGCUGCUAGUUAACCCCAGUCCUACUAUUUAUGUCGUCUCCUACAGGCACUCAUUACAUAAAUCUAACUACUAGUUGUCUUCCAUGCAUGUCAGAUAUAAUUGCACACACUGAUUUAUCCACAAGAACCUCACAGAGCAAUGUAACGGCCAACAAACUUGACGUCAAUGAUACCCAAUAUGAUGGAACAUGUAAAGGCAGUUCUUCAUAAGACCUGCAGAAAGAUGACGAAUCCUAUUCACCCCAUAAGGUCCUUGCUCUAACUUGGCCCCUGAUAUGUGUACAGCAUGCAUAUAAUGUCCUGUAGUGCAUCUACUCUGGUUGCAAUGUGUAACACCCCGGAUCCGAUGCGCCAGGUGUCUUCUAGUUAUUCGUCAUUGUUGCCAUGUCAUUUGCUUGCGUGUUGCAUUUUGCCAUGUCAUCAUCUACAUUUCAUCUACAUGUCUUUCAAAACUUGCAUCCGUUCGGGUUCCCCCGGUUCUCUCCGUUGUCCGUUCUGAGCCCUGACACUCCCACACGCGCUCGUCGCCCCUCUCAGACCUUGUUUCGUGAGCGGGAGAAAAAUGUUCUCGGAAUGGGUCGAGAUUUACCGUGUGGCCUUGGUAUAUCACCGGUAGACCGCCCGUCAAAUUCCGUUCCAUUUGGAGGUCGUUUGAUGCCCCAACGGUUAACCGCGUUGCCCAAAACCCCUCUCUCUUUGCAGCCCAACACCCCUCCAAAUCAGCCCACUAGCCCAUCCAAACCCCCUCCAUGCUCUCGGUCGUUCGAUCAUGAUCGUGUGGGCGAAAACCGCACCUCAUUUGGACACUCCUAGCUCCCUCUACCUAUAUAUUUGCCUCCCCCUCCUCAUUUUCCGCGGUACAAACCCUAGCCUAGGUCCCUCCGCGCCUCCCCGCGCCCUCCGCCGCCCGUCGCCGCCGNNNNNNNNNNNNNNNNNNNNNNNNNNNNNNNNNNNNNNNNNNNNNNNNNNNNNNNNNNNNNNNNNNNNNNNNNNNNNNNNNNNNNNNNNNNNNNNNNNNNNNNNNNNNNNNNNNNNNNNNNNNNNNNNNNNNNNNNNNNNNNNNNNNNNNNNNNNNNNNNNNNNNNNNNNNNNNNNNNNNNNNNNNNNNNNNNNNNNNNNNNNNNNNNNNNNNNNNNNNNNNNNNNNNNNNNNNNNNNNNNNNNNNNNNNNNNNNNNNNNNNNNNNNNNNNNNNNNNNNNNNNNNNNNNNNNNNNNNNNNNNNNNNNNNNNNNNNNNNNNNNNNNNNNNNNNNNNNNNNNNNNNNNNNNNNNNNNNNNNNNNNNNNNNNNNNNNNNNNNNNNNNNNNNNNNNNNNNNNNNNNNNNNNNNNNNNNNNNNNNNNNNNNNNNNNNNNNNNNNNNNNNNNNNNNNNNNNNNNNNNNNNNNNNNNNNNNNNNNNNNNNNNNNNNNNNNNNNNNNNNNNNNNNNNNNNNNNNNNNNNNNNNNNNNNNNNNNNNNNNNNNNNUUUUCCACCGUCUUUUUCCUGUGAUAUUUUUUAUGCAUGUUCGACAUACCAUAACUCUCUGACUGUAGAUCCGUUUUGCACGCAUAAUAUAUCAAAAUGUUCAUCAUGAGAUUCUCUUCAUGUUGUUCCAUUGUGCCAUGCUUGUUUGAGUUAAUCUUGAUGCCCAAAUCAUCGCUGCAAGAGUGAUAUAUGAUGUUAACCUGCUGUCUGUUAUCAGCACUUGGUGAUUUGUCUUUUUCAUUGCAUUUUGUGUGUGCACCCUAUGGGCUUGAUGUCUACAUGUGUUUUGUUCUAAACCAUGCCAUAUUUACCGAGGUGCUUGUCUUGUAUUUUUAGUAUCUAUGUGGUGACUAGCACAAGCAUGCCAAGUAGCCUCCGUGAUGUUGCUGAUUUCUGUGACUUGGUCAUUUCUGCUAAGUCUGUAGCUGUAACAUUGUGAUUCCAUGUAAACCUGCUGCUACUAGUCAUUCUAUGCAUAAUAUGGAGAUUUUCACUUAGGAUGUUUUGUUAUACAUGUUAUUUUCUAUGCAUCCAUGCCCUUGUUUGUAUUUAUAGCCUCCUGUAGCUUGUUGCAAACUUGCUCUCAACUUGCUAAAUAAUGUUGCUGUCAGCCUGUUAGCAUGAAGUUCAGUUUUGACAUGUGUUUUGCUAGUGAUCCAUGCACCCUAUAAUUAUGCUAUUGCCAUGCUUAGCUUCAUGAACAUGUCUUCUUACUGUGAGUUACCUUCAAAGGCCAUGAAAUGCUUUGUGAUGAGUGAUUUGAGCUUGCAAAGAUGCCUUCAUAAUUCUGUUUAUGUCAUGCUCAGUUUUUCUGCCAAGUCUGAAUCUGUUUAUGAAACUUGCUAUGUUUACAUGGGUGCCAUCAUAUCUUCUGUGCCUUUUUGGCUCGUGAUCAGUAAGGGACUUUUGUUUUAUGCAAUUAGUAGAUUCAUGCCAUGCCUUUGUUUGCUAUGAUAUAUUCUUGUAGCAUGUUAUUUGAUAGGUCCAAACUUAGCAACCUGAUGCUAUUCCUGUCAUGUCCAGUGAUUUCUGCAAGUCUGUGAAACUGUUAUUAUUUGCAAUCUUGCCAUGUCCUUUUGAUCAUGUUCUAGUGAUUUCUGGAGAUAUCUCAGUGUUCAUGUUUUGUCAUGCUUUACCUGUACAUCAUGUCCAUGCCUUUUGUUUUCAUGUUGAGGUGCUGUAGCAUAUUGUUUUGAUGCUUGCUAGAUGCCUAGUUGCUGUUUUGGACAGCUUGUCCUUUAAACUUGUUUCAUGUGUAUGUGUUGAACCGUUGCUCCGUUUUGAGUGUGCUCUACAUGAAACUUGCUUAGUUUUGCAUGUAGUUUCAUGUUACCUUGUUUCAUCCUUGUUUUGGAGGUGUUUGCUUGAUGUUUGAAUGCAUUUUGCUUCAAUGCUAUGUUUAACUUGUUUUGCUCAUAUCUUUUAGGCCGUAGCUCCGAAACUAAUGAACUUUAUAUGUAACUUGACUAUAAUUUCAUGUAGAUCAUCUUGAUGCAUCUUAACUUGCUGUUUAACAACUUGAACAUAAGGCUUAUUCAGAUCUGGACCAAUUUUGAAACUUGCAUAUGAGGACUUACCGGAUUUGUUAUAUGUUGUUUCCAGCCUCAUUUAAACUUGCGUUGAUGUGUUGUUCUUGUAUGCAUCAUCUCUUACCAUGAGUAGCUUCAUGUAGCCUUGUCAUGCAUCAGACUUGGUUGAGCAUCAUGUCUUGUUUAUGUGUUGAGUGUUUACCGUGUUGUUUGCUUCUUUCCGGUUGUGCUUCUUCUCGAUAGUUCCUGUUUCGUUGUGAUCAUGAGGAUUCGUUCGUCUACGCUCGGUUCGUCUUCAUGGCUUCAUCUUCUUCAUGGACUCGUUCUUCUUCCUAGCGGGAUUUCAGGCAAGAUGACCGUCACCUUGGAUCUCACUACUAUCAUUGCUAUGCUAGUUGCUUCGUUCUAUCGCUAUGCUGCGCUACCUAUCACUUGCUCUUCAAGCCUCCCAAAUUGCCAUGUCAGCCUCUAACCUUUGUCACCCUUCCUAGCAAACCAUUGUUUGGCUAUGUUACCACUUUGCUCAGCCCCUCUUAUAGCAUUGUUAGUUUCAGGUGAAGAUGAAGAUUGCUCCAUGUUGGAUUAUGUUGAUGUUGGGAUAUCACAAUAUCUCUUAUAUUAUUAAUGCAUCUAUAUACUUGGUAAAGGGUGGAAGGCUUGGCCUUAUGCCUGGCAUUUUAUUCCACUCUUGCCGCCCUAGUUUUCGUCAUACCGGUGUUAUGUUCCUUGAUUUUGCGUCCCUUACGCGGUUGGGUGAUUUAUUGGACCCCCUUGACAGUUCGCUUUGAAUAAAACUUGUGCAGCAAGGCCCAACCUUGGUUUUACCAUUUGCCUACCUAAGCCUUUUUCCCUUGGGAGUCGCGCUCCUGGGGGUCGUCUUUAUUUUACCCCCCCCCCGGGCCAGUGCUCCUCUGAGUGUUGGUCCAAACUAGAGUCCUUUGCAGCGCCACCUUUGGGAAACUUCAGGCCUGGUUUAGUUGUAUGGAUUGCUCAUCCGGUGUGCCCUGAGAACAAGAUAUGUGCAGCUCCUAUCGGGAUUUGUCGGCACAUUCGGGCGGCUUUGCUGGUCUUGUUUUACCAUUGUCGAAAUGACUUGUAAACCGGGAUUCCGAGACUGAUCGGGUCUUCCCGGGAGAAGGAAUAUCCUUCGUUGACCGUGAGAGCUUAUAAUGGGCUAAGUUGGGACACCCCUGCAGGGUAUAAACUUUCGAGAGCCGUGCCCGCGGUUAUGUGGCAGAUGGGAAUUUGUUAAUGUCCGGUUAUAGAGAACUUGACACUUGACUUAACUAAAACGCAUCAACCGCGUGUGUAACCGUGAUGGUCUCUUUUCGGCGGAGUCCGGGAAGUGAACACGGUUUUUGGGUUAUGUUUGACGUAAGUAGGAGUUCAGGAUCACUUAUUGAUCAUUGCUAGUUUCAUGACCGUUCCGUUGCUCCUCUUCUCGCUCUUAUUUGCGUAUGUUAGCCACCAUACUUGCUUAGUCGCUGCUUCAACCUCACCACUUUACCCCCUUCCUUACCCAUUAAGCUUUGCUAGUCUUGAUACCCAUGGUAAUGGGAUUGUUGAGUCCUCGUGGCUCACAGAUUACUACAACAACAGUUGCAGGUACAGGUUUUGUGAUGAUCAUGACGUGAGAGCGAUGUUACUUGUUUUGGAGUUCUUCUUCUGCUUCUUCUUCGAUCAAGGGAUAGGUUCCAGGUCGGCAGCCUGGGCUAGCAGGGUGGAUGCCGUUUGAGUUUCUGUUUAUGUUUCAUCCGUAGUCGAUGUUGUUCUCAUGUAUAUUGAUGUAUUCUUGCGGCAUCUGUAUGCCUUGUAUGUAUCCCCAUCUAUUAUGUAAUGUUGAUGUAAUGAUAUCCACCUUGCAAAAGCAUGUCAAUAUGCGGUUCUAUCCUUGGUGGGACCUUCGAGUAUCUUUAGGAUAGUAUCGCAUAUUGGGCGUGACACAAUGCCUUGUGCUUCGCCUGCUGAUCAUGCAUGUAAAUAUGGCAUGAUUUCUUGUUUUUCAGUACCUAUUCCAUUAAUGAUAACAUGUUUUCAAAUUCAAGUACUGUCAUUCUACUCUAUCGCAAUGCCAUCUGCUUAGUUUGGACAUCAUGCUUCUCAAUAUCUUAUGCAUUGUUAUUCAUCAGUAUGUACUUCAUCUGUCUACCAUACCAUGUUCUUUUUUUACAGUGUUGUUCUAGUGGUCUCUUGCAAUGACAUCUUAGUUUCCCAAUCAUACACGCAUAUAUGUUGCCUUAGUGUUUUUUUGUAAUGUAUUCCGCUAGCAUACAGUUUUACAUUCAAGUAGUGUUUUUUUACACUGUUGUCAUGUCGUAUCCCUAGCUCUUACAUCAUACUCCCUCCGUCCGGAUUACAUGUCGCAGAAAUGGAAAAAACUGGAUGUAUCUAGAACUAAAAUACGCCUAGACCCAUCCAUUUAUUUUCGGAUGGAGGGAAUACAUGUCAAUAUGUCAUGCCUUUCUAUUCUUCAGUACCUAUUCCAUCCUUGUUGUAGCAUGUUUUAUAAUUGAAGCACCAUUCUUCUAUAUAAGGCAUGCAAGGGGAAGACGGCUAUGUUAGAAUCUGAAGGGUUACAAACCAGGUCUUUGCAAAAGAUCCAAACGCCAGGAGAUAAUAAACCAACUCCAGUUUUCAUAGAUACUGCUCCAGCACAGACCAACUCCCACUAAUAAUAAGCAGAUUCCAGUGGCCAAAGAACUAGUCUGCUCCAGUCCAGCAAAAAUAUGUCAACUCCAUUCUAAGAAGCGUGUGCGUAUCCUCGCAUCAUGAAAUUUUAUAGCAUUCUGAUCAUAUUUUCUACAUGUUCCUUACCCAUCUCUCUUUUAGAAAAUAAGGUUAAACAAUAGAAUAUUCCCUCCAUUGGGAUCGUAUUCGAGGAAAGUAUCUUGCAGGAAUUCUCUGUGCUCCAGUGCUAAUGUAAGUACCUGCUGUAUAUCACUAUAUUUUUACAUCAACAUGUAUUUUGUUAAUCGGUGUGAAUCCAACCUUUAUGUGAUCUAAAUUCAGUUGUAGCAAAAUGUUAAAGGCGACAAUGUUGAUUUUUGUAAGGAAAACUGCCUGGUAGUUUUGCAUACUGAGCUGCAUGAGUGUACUAUCUCAUAUCAUGCACAUUACUGAAUUGUAGUGCUGCUCUGGUUGCCCAUUCAUUCAUUGUGUCAAUGUUGCUUUCUUAUUACCUUACCUGGUUGAUGAUAGAUGUGCCAUAUUCUGUUAAUUUGGUGUAGGCUGGUGUAGGCUGGUGUGGUCUGGUUGCCCAAACGUUUGUUGUGUCAAUGUUGCUUUCCUAUUAUCUGACCUGGCCAGUGAUAGCAAUGCUAGUGUGUUAAUUUGGUGCAGGCUGCUGAAGAUAAGAAGACAAACUCUGAAAACAGCAAGGCAACUCCAUUGUUUCUUUCCAAUAAAUCUAGGCCAGGUAAUAUGGCAAUAACUCAUGAUUAAUCUGUUUGGUUCCCCUCCUAAUUUAUGUUAUGAUGCAGUGGUCGAGACACUCUCCACUAUCAAUAAUACAAGCCUGCCAAAAUUGCCAUCUAAAUAUGUUCAGUUUCCUCUGUCUCGAAUGCAACGGAAAAAAUGUAUGUUUGUGAACCAAUUAAUGGUUGAAGCAAUGAUGGAAAUGGUGGAGGAAUCAGAGCUGCACAUUCGUUCGCAGCAACAACUGAUCAAUGUUUUCAGAGAUAGUGUAGCAAAGGAGCAAGAACUUGCCCACAUGCUUAUGGGCGUCAUCCGCGCUGAGGUUGCAGAUUGUGACGUUGUACAUCGUUAGGUUCUGUUCAUUUAUUUGCACUAGCAUCAAUCUUUGAUUGCCCAGUGGAUGUAACUUCCUGUAAUAUAUGCUGGAUGUGCAACGUUUUUUCCUGUAUGUCGUACCUUUGCUUGAUCGGUUUUGGUCCUGUGCAUAAUUGCUCGUCGUAAUGGGCUCAAAUUAUCUAAUUGGGCCUAAAGACAUGUAUGAACUUUAGUGGGCCCAUUAAGUUAAUGGGCUGUUACCAGGCCGAAAGUUAAUGGCCGGCCCUCUUACCUCCCGGGUCAUUAUCAGGCCGACAUCGAAGCGGGCAACAGGUGGGCCCAUUUGAUUUCACGGGCCGUUAACAGGCCGUUACUAAGGUUGGGCUACAUUUGGCCCAACUAUACUGUGGGCCUUUAGCAGGCCGAAAGAGACAGCGGGCUCGUACUGGACCAUGAAGAGCAUGGGCCGCUAAGAUCCGACUAAGGUCCGACUACAAAUGGCCCAACUCAUUUAUGGGCUGUCAAUAGGCUGAAAGACACACCGGGCCGGAAAUUGGCCCAACACUUAAAUGGGUCGCUAAAAGGCCUAAAGAUGUACAUCUUGAAAAUGGGCCCAUCCCUUGAAUGGGCUGUUAAUAGGCCGAAGUUACAUCGGGCCGAUAUUGAGCCCAAAUAUAUAGCGGGCUGUUAACGGGCUCAAACUGAUGAUGGGCUGCAAUGGUGUCAAAUCUUUAACGGGUCGUUGAAGGGCCGAAUUGGCACAUCUCGUAUGGGCCGUGGGCUUAAAUGGACCUGGCACAAGUAGGCCUUAUAUGGGCCGGCCUACUAUUUUUUACUGGGUCGGCCUUUUUCACCGGAAUGGGCCACUGUUGGGCCGUGCCACAUGUCGACCUAUCAUAGGCGCCUCCUGUCUAAUGAGUGGAUGACAUCUGUCCCAACGGUGAGCUAACACGUGUUUCCUCCGGCCAAUGAGAAUUUUACACGUGGAAAAUAAUCAUUGGUCCGGGUUGUUAACGGGUUAUCGGAUCCAAAACCGGACCCGAUAGCUUAACGGCGACCCGUUACGGUGGAUGCCUGAUACGUCUCCAACGUAUCUAUAAUUUUUUAUUGCUCCAUGCUAUUAUAUAUUCUGUUUGGAUGUUUAAUGGGCUUAUUUAUACACUUUUAUAUUAUUUUCGGGACUAACCUAUUAACCCAAGGCCCAGUGCAAAUUACUGUUUUUUUCCUAUUUCAGUGUUUCGUAGAAAAGGAAUAUCAAACGGAGUCCAAAUGGAAAGAAACCUUCGGGAGCGUGAUUUUUCGAACAAACGUGAUCCAGAGGACUUGGAGUGGACGUCAAGAAAUCAGCAAGGAGGCCACGAGGCAGGGGGCGUGCCUACCCCUCCUGGGCGCGCCCUCCACCCUCAUGGGCCCCUCGUGGCUCCACCGACCUACUUCUUCCUCCUAUAUAUACCUACGUACCCCGAAACCAUCGAGGAGCACCACGAAACCCUAUUUCCACUGCCGCAACCUUCUGUACCCGUGAGAUCCCAUCUUGGGGCCUUUUCCGGCGCUCUGCCAGAGGGGGCAUCGAUCACGGAGGGCUUCUACAUCAACACCAUAGCCUCUCCGAUGAUGUGUGAGUAGUCUACCACAGACCUUCGGGUCCGUAGUUAUUAGCUAGAUGGCUUCUUCUCUCUCUUUGGAUCUCAAUACAAAGCUCUCCUCGAUCUUCUUGGAGAUCUAUUUGAUGUAACUCUUUUUGCGGUGUGUUUGUCGAGAUCCGAUGAAUUGUGGGUUUAUGAUCAAGAUUAUCUAUGAGCAAUAUUUGAAUCUUCUCUGAAUUCUUUUAUGUAUGAUUGGUUAUCUUUGCAAGUCUCUUCGAAUUAUCAAUUUGGUUUGGCCUACUAGAUUGAUCUUUCUUGCAAUGGGAGAAGUGCUUAGCUUUGGGUUCAAUCAUACGGUGCUCGAUCCCAGUGACAGUAGGGGAAACGACACGUAUUGUAUUGUUGCCAUCGAGGAUAAAAAGAUGGGGUUUAUAUCAUAUUGCUUGAGUUUAUCCCUCUACAUCAUGUCAUCUUGCCUAAUGCGUUACUCUGUUCUUAUGAACUUAAUACUCUAGAUGCAUGCUGGAUAGUGGUCGAUGUGUGGAGUAAUAGUAGUAGAUGCAGGCAGGAGUCGGUCUACUUGUUGCGGACGUGAUGCCUAUAUACAUGAUCAUCCCUAGAUAUUCUCAUAAUUAUGCACUUUUCUAUCAAUUGCUCGACAGUAAUUUGUUCACCCACCGUAAUACUUAUGCUAUCUUGAGAGAUGACACUAGUGAAACCUAUGGUCCCCCGGCUCUAUCUUCCAUCAUAUUAAUCUUUCUUCAACUAGCUAUUUUUGUCGCCGUUUAUUUUGCAAUCUUUACUUUCAAUCUUUAUCAUAAAAAUACCAAAAAUAUUAUCUUAUCAUCUCUAUCAAAUCUCACUUUUGCAAGUGGCCGUGAAGGGAUUGACAACCCCUUUAUCGCGUUGGUUGCAAGGUUCUUAUUUGUUUGUGUAGGUACGAGGGACUUGCGUGUGUCCUCCUACUGGAUUGAUACCUUGGUUCUCAAAAACUGAGGGAAAUACUUACGCUACUUUGCUGCAUCACCGUUUCCUCUUCAAGGGAAAACCAACGCAUGCUCAAGAGGUAGCAAGAAGGAUUUCUGGCGACGUUGCCGGGGAGUCUACGCACAAGUCAAGACAUACCAAGUACCCAUCACAAAAUCUUAGCCCUCGCAUUACAUUAUUUGCCAUAUGCCUCUCGUUUUCCUCUCCCCCACUUCACCCUUGCCGUUUUAUUCACCCUUCUUCUGUUCAUCUUUUUGUUUGCUUUGAUGUCCUACUUGGCUCGUUUGCUCGUUUGGUUGGAAUAGUUGUUUAUUUAUUGCUAAAGAGAGAACCUAAGAUCUAUGGAUCCUCAUCCGCUUGCUAAUCUUUUUAAGAGAUCCAAUUAUGAUGAACCAAUUGCUAGUGAGUUUUGUGCACUAGAUUAUCUUUAUGAAGUUUUGCUUGAAAUUCGUGAAUCUGGAAAUUGUGAUGAUAUACUUUAUGGAGUAAUUCAUGAUGGAUCUUUGAAUAAAAAGCAUGAUUGCAAUGAUUUUAUUAUAAAUUAUAUUAGUGUCAAUUGUGCUAAUAAUAUGCAAAACCCUAAGCUUGGGGAUGCUAGUUUUGCUAUGUCCACUACUUGUUGCAAUGAUCAUGAUUGGGGUGAUUCUUCUUUUAAUCUUGAAAAAUUAUUUAAGCCCCAUGAUGAAAUAUGAGAUUGAUUAUAAUGUUUGCAAUAAUAUUGAAGGUGGGUUUGGAAGAAUGUCAACUUUAGAUCCCACAUAUUUGGAGAAUGUUCAAUCUUAUGAAGUUUUUGAUAAAAGUGGGUUUCGAGAGGUCAUGACAUUAGUUAAUGUUAAUCCCACUAUUUUGGAAGAGUGUCAACUUUGCAUACAUGAGGAUCGUGUUAAGAAUAUGUUUUGUGAUAGCUAUAUUGUUGAAUUUGCUUAUGAUCCUACAUGUAAUUAUUAUGAGAGAGGAAUAUAUGGUUGUAGAAAUUUUCAUGUUACUAAAUUACCUCUCGUUAUGUUGAGAUUGCUAUUGUUUCUUUCCGCUUCCUUGCAUAUGCUAGUUUUUGCUUGCCUUGAUAAUUUGUUUGCCUAUAAGAUGCCUAUGCAUAGGAAGUAUGUUAGACUUAGAUGUGUUUUACACAAACAAAUAAGAACCUCGCAACCAACGCGAUAAAGGGGUUGUCAAUCCCUUCACGGUCACUUACGAGAGUGAGAUCUGAUAGAUAUGAUAAGAUAAUAUUUUUGGUAUUUUUUAUGAUAAAGAGAAAUAAAGAUGCAAAGUAAAAUAAACGGCAAUAGAAAUAUCUAAGUGUUGGAAGAUUAAUAUGAUGGAAGAUAGACCCGGGGGCCAUAGGUUUCACUAGUGGCUUCUCUCAAGAUAGCAUAAGUAUUACGGUGGGUAAACGAAUUACUGUCGAGCAAUUGAUAGAAUUGAGCAUAGUUAUGAGAAUAUCUAGGUAUGAUCAUGUAUAUAGGCAUCACGUCCGUGACAAGUAGACCGAAACGAUUCUGCGUCUACUACUAUUACUCCACACAUCGACCGCUAUCCAGCAUGCAUCUAGAGUAUUAAGUUCAUAAGAACAAAGUAAUGCUUUAAGUAAGAAGACAUGAUGUAGACGGAUAAACUCAUGCAAUAUGAUAUAAACCCCAUCUUUUUAUCCUCGAUGGCAACAAUACAAUACGUGUCAUUUCCCCUUCUGUCACUGGGAUCGAGCACCGCAAGAUUGAACCCAAAGCUAAGCACUUCUCCCAUUGCAAGAAAGGUCAAUCUAGUAGGCCAAACCAAACUGAUAAUUCGAAGAGACCUGCAAAGAUAACCAAUCAUACAUAAAAGAAUUCAGAGGAUAUUCAAAUAUUGUUCAUAGAUAAACUUGAUCAUAAACCCACAAUUCAUCGGAUCUCGACAAACACACUGCAAAAGAAGAUUACAUCGAAUAGAUCUCCAAGAAGAUCGAGGAGAACUUUGUAUUGAGAUCCAAAGAGAGAGAAGAAGCCAUCUAGCUAAUAACUAUGGACCCGAAGGUCUGAGGUAAACUACUCACACAUCAUCGGAGAGGCUAUGGUGUUGAUGUAGAAGCCCUCUGUGAUCAAUGCCCCCUCCAGCGGACCGCCGGAAAAGGCCCCAAGAUGGGAUCUCACGGGUACAGAAGGUUGCGGCAGUGGAAAUAGGGUUUUGGCUCCAUAUCUGAUGGUUUGGGGGAACGUAGGUAUAUAUAGGAGGAAGAAGUACGUCGGUGGAGCAACGAGGGGCCCACGAGGGUGGAGGGCGCGCCCCCUGCCUCGUGCCUUCCUCGUUGAUUUCUUUACGUAGACUCCAAGUCCUCUGGAUCACGUUUGUUCCAAAAAUCACGUUCCCGAAGGUUUCAUUCUGUUUGGACACCGUUUGAUAUUCUUUUUCUGCGAAACACUGAAAUAGGCCAAAAAACAGCAAUUUGGGUUGGCCCUCUGGUUAAUAGGUUAGUCCCAAAAAUAAUAUAAAAGUGUAUAAUAAAGCCCUUUAAACAUCCAAAACAGAAUAUAAUAUAGCAUGGAACAAUAAAAAAUUAUAGAUACGUUGGAGACGUAUCAAGCAUCCCCAAGCUUAAUUCCUGCUCGUCCUCGAGUAGGUAAAUGAUAAAAACAGAAAUUUUGAUGUGGAAUGCUACUUGGCAUAAUUUUCAAUGUAACCCUCUUAAUUGUGGUAUGAAUACUCAGAUCCGGAAGAUUCAAGAUGAAAGUUUAAUAUUGACAUAAAAGUAAUAAUACUUCAAGCAUACUAACUAAGCAAUUAUUACUUCUCAAAAUAACAUGGCCAAAGAAAGUUCAUCCCUACAAAAUCAUAUAGUUUGGUCAUGCUCUAUUUUCGUCACACAAGAAUGCUCUCAUCAUGCACAACCCCGAUGACAAGCCAAGCAAUUGUUUCAUAUUUUAGUAAUCUCAAACUUGGAAUCUCAUACGUUAGAUGUGUUUUUUUGUUUUAUUUAGUGUUUCUAGGAAACUGUUCCAUGCCUUUCCUUAACGGAAAUGGGAACCUAAUAUUUCCUUCCUUCAUAUCAAUAAUUGCACCAAUCGUUCUAAGGAAAGGUCUAACAAGAAUAAUAGGACAUGAAGGAUUGCAAUCUAUGUCAAGAACAAUGAAAUCUAUGGGCACAUAGUUCCUAUUUGCAACAAUAAGAACAUCAUUAAUUCUUUCCAUAGGUUUCUUAAUAGUGGAAUCCGCAAGGUGCAAGUUUAAAGAACAAUCAUCAAAUUCACGGAAUCCUAGCAAAUCACACAAAGUUUUUGGAAUCAUGGAAACACUAGCACCCAAAUCACACAAAGCAUAGCAUCAAUAAUCUUUAAUUUUAAUUUUAAUAGUAGGUUCCCACUCAUCAUAAAGUUUUCUAGGGAUAGAAACUUCCAACUCAAGUUUUUCUUCAUAAGAUUGCAUCAAAGCAUAAACGAUAUGUUUAGUAAAAGCUUUAUUUUGACUAUAAGCAUGAGGAGAAUUUAGCACGGAUUGCAACAAGGAAAUACAAUCUAUCAAAGAGCAAUUAUCAUAAUUAAAUUCCUUCAAAUCCAAAAUAGUGGGUUCAUUGAUAUCUAAAGUUUUGAUCUCUUUAAUCCCACUUUUACCAAAUUUCGCAUCAAGAUCUAAAAACUCCGAAUUUUUGGGACACCUUAUACGUAAAGGUAACUCAUCUCCAGUCCCAUCAUUAUCAAGAUUCAUAUUGCAAAACAAAGAUUUAAUAGGAGACACAUCAAUAACUUUUAGAUCUUCAUCUUUAUUCUCACAAAAAUUAGAAGAACACGCUUUCACAAAGCAAUCUUUCUUAGCACGCAUCCUAGCGGUUCUUUCUUUGCACUCAUCAAUGGAAAUUCUCAUGGCUUUGAGAGACUCAUUGAUAUCAUGCUUAGGUGGAAUAGAUCUAAGUUUCAAAUAAUCAACAUCAAGAGAAAUUCUAUCAACGUUCCUAGCCAAUUCAUCAACCUUAAGAAAUUUUUCUUCAAGCAAAGCAUUGAAAUUCUUUUGCAAAUUCAUAAACUCCUUAACACUAGUCUCAAAUUUAGAGGGCAUCUUAUUAAAGUUUCCAUAAGAAUUGUUGUAGGAAUUACCAUAAUUAUUAGAGGAAUUACUAGGGAACGGCCUAGGAUUAAAGUUUCCUCUAUACGCGUUGUUACCAAAAUUAUUCCUACCAACAAAAUUCACAUCCAUAGAUUCAUUAUUAUUCUCAAUCAAAGUAAACAAAGGCAUAUCAUUAGGAUCAGAAGAAACACUUUUAGUAGCAAAUAAUUGUUGGAAAUAUGCCCUAGAGGCAAUAAUAAAUGGUUAUUAUUAUAUUUCUUUGUUCAUGAUAAUCGUCUAUUGUUCAUGCUAUAAUUGUAUUGUCCGGAAAUCGUAAUACAUGUGUGAAUACAUAGACCACAACGUGUCCCUAGUAAGCCUCUAGUUGACUAGCUCGUUGAUCAACAGAUAGUCAUGGUUUCCUGACUAUGGACAUUGGAUGUCAUUGAUAACGGGAUCACAUCAUUAGGAGAAUGAUGUGAUGAACAAGACCCAAUCCUAAGCAUAGCAUAAAAGAUCGUGUAGUUUCGUUUGCUAGAGCUUUUCCAAUGUCAAGUAUCUUUUCCUUAGACCAUGAGAUCGUGCAACUCCCGGAUACCGUAGGAGUGCUUUGGGUGUGCCAAACGUCACAACGUAACUGGGUGACUAUAAAGGUGCACUACGGGUAUCUCCGAAAGUGUCUGUUGGGUUGGCACGGAUCGAGACUGGGAUUUGUCACUCCGUGUGACGGAGAGGUAUCUCUGGGCCCACUCGGUAAUGCAUCAUCAUAAUGAGCUCAAUGUGACUAAGGCGUUAGUCACGGGAUCAUGCAUUGCGGUACGAGUAAAGAGACUUGCCGGUAACGAGAUUGAACAAGGUAUUGGGAUACCGACGAUCGAAUCUCGGGCAAGUAACAUACCGAUUGACAAAGGGAAUUGCAUACGGGAUUGAUUGAAUCCUCGACACCGUGGUUCAUCCGAUGAGAUCAUCGUGGAACAUGUGGGAUCCAACAUGGGUAUCCAGAUCCCGCUGUUGGUUAUUGACCGGAGAGGCGUCUCGGUCAUGUCUGCAUGUCUCCCGAACCCGUAGGGUCUACACACUUAAGGUUCAGUGACGCUAGGGUUGUAGAGAUAUGUGUAUGCGGAAACCCGAAAGUUGUUCGGAGUCCCGGAUGAGAUCCCGGACGUCACGAGAGGUUCCGGAAUGGUCCGGAGGUGAAGAAUUAUAUAUAGGAAGUCAAGUUUCGGCCACCGGGAAAGUUUCGGGGUUACCGGUAUUGUACCGGGACCACCGGAAGGGUCCCGGGGGUCCACCGGGUGGGGCCACCUAUCCCAGAGGGCCCCAUGGGCUGAAGUGGGAAAGGGAACCAGCCCCUAGUGGGCUGGGCGCCCCCCCCCCCCAUGGGCCUCCCCCCAUGCGCCUAGGGUUGGGAACCCUAGGGUGGGGGGGUUUCCCACUUGCCUUGGGGGCAAGGCACCCCUUCCCCCCCUUUGGCCGCCGGCCCCCACCCUAGAUGGGAUCUGGCUGGCGCCCCCCUCCNNNNNNNNNNGUGACGCUAGGGUUGUAGAGAUAUGUGUAUGCGGAAACCCGAAAGUUGUUCGGAGUCCCGGAUGAGAUCCCGGACGUCACGAGAGGUUCCGGAAUGGUCCGGAGGUGAAGAAUUAUAUAUAGGAAGUCAAGUUUCGGCCACCGGGAAAGUUUCGGGGUUACCGGUAUUGUACCGGGACCACCGGAAGGGUCCCGGGGGUCCACCGGGUGGGGCCACCUAUCCCAGAGGGCCCCAUGGGCUGAAGUGGGAAAGGGAACCAGCCCCUAGUGGGCUGGGCGCCCCCCCCCCCAUGGGCCUCCCCCCAUGCGCCUAGGGUUGGGAACCCUAGGGUGGGGGGGUUUCCCACUUGCCUUGGGGGCAAGGCACCCCUUCCCCCCCUUUGGCCGCCGGCCCCCACCCUAGAUGGGAUCUGGCUGGCGCCCCCCUCCCAGGGGGCCUAUAUAAAGGGGGGAGGGAGGGCAGCAACACACAGCCUUGGGCGCCUCCCUCUCCCCCUGUUACACCUCUCCGUCUCGCAGAAGCUCGGCGAAGCCCUGCCGAGACCCGCUACAUCCACCACCACGCCGUCGUGCUGCUGGAUCUCCAUCAACCUCUCCUUCCCCCUGGCUGGAUCAAGAAGGAGGAGACUUCGCUGCACCGUACGUGUGUUGAACGCGGAGGUGCCGUCCGUUCGGCACUCGGUCAUCGGUGAUUUGGAUCACGGCGAGUACGACUCCGUCAUCCACGUUCAUUGGAACGCUUCUGCUCGCGAUCUGCAAGGGUAUGUAGAUGCACUCCUUUCCCCUCGUUGCUAGUAGACUCCAUAGAUGCAUCUUGGUGAGUGUAGGAAAAUUUUAAAAUUAUGCUACGAUUACCAACAGUGGCAUCAUGAGCCAGGCCUAUGCGUAGUUACUAUGCACGAGUAGAACACAAAGCAGUUGUGGGCGUUGAGUUUGCCAAUUCUUCUUGCCGCUACUAGUUUUUCUUGUUUCGGUGGCAUUGUAGGAUGAAGCGGCCCGGACCGACCUUACACGUACGCUUACGUGAGACAGGUUCCACCGACUGACAUGCACUAGUUGCAUAAGGUGGCUAGCGGGUGUCUGUCUCUCCUACUUUAGUCGGAACGGAUUCGAUGAAAAGGGUCCUUAUGAAGGGUGAAUAGAAAUUGGCAAAUCACGUUGUGGUCAUACGUAGGUAAGAAACGUUCUUGCUAGAAACCUACAAACCACGUAAAAACUUGCAACAACAAUUAGAGGACGUCUAACUUGUUUUUGCAGCAUAUGCCUUGUGAUGUGAUAUGGCCAGAAGAUGUGAUGAAUGAUAUAUGUGGUGUAUGAGAUUGAUCAUAUUCUUGUAAUAGGAAUCACGACUUGCAUGUCGAUGAGUAUGACAACCGGCAGGAGCCAUAGGAGUUGUCUUUAUUAUUUUGCAUGACCUGCGUGUCAUUGAAUAACGCCAUGUAAUUUACUUUACUUUGUUGCUAAACGCGUUAGCCAUAGAAGUAGAAGUAAUCGUUGGCGUGACGACUUCAUGAAGACACAAUGAUGGAGAUCAUGGUGUCAUGCCGGUGACGAAGAUGAUCAUGGUGCCCCGAAGAUGGAGAUCAAAGGAGCAUGAUGAUAUUGGCCAUAUCAUGUCACUAUUUGAUUGCAUGUGAUGUUUAUCAUGUUUUUGCAUCUUAUUUUCUUAGAAUGACGGUAGUAAGUAAGAUGAUCCCUUAUAAUAAUUUCAAGAAAGUGUUCACCCUAACUGUGCACCGUUGCGAAGGUUCGUUGUUUCGAAGCACCACGUGAUGAUCGGGUGUGAUAGAUUCUAACGUUCGAAUACAACGGGUGUUGACGAGCCUAGCAUGUACAGACAUGGCCUCGGAACACACGCAAUACACUUAGGUUGACUUGACGAGCCUAGCAUGUACAGACAUGGCCUCGGAACACGGAGGACCGAAAGGUCGAGCAUGAGUCGUAUAGAAGAUACGAUCAACAUGGAGAUGUUCACCGAUCUUGACUAGUCCGUCUCACGUGAUGAUCGGACACGGCCUAGUUAAACUCGGAUCAUGUUUCACUUGGAUGACUAGAGGGAUGUCUAUCUAAGUGGGAGUUCAUUAAAUAAUUUGAUUAGAUGAACUUAAUUAUCAUGAACUUAGUCUAAAAACUUUACACUAUGUAUUGUAGAUCAAAUGGCCAACGUUGUCCUCAAUUUCAACGCGUUCCUAGAGAAAACCAAGCUAAAAGAUGAUGGCAGCAACUAUACGGACUGGGUCCGGAACCUGAGGAUCAUCCUCAUAGUAGCCAAAAAAGAUUAUGUCUUAGAAGCACCGCUAGGUGAUGCACCAACCCACAAAACCAAGACGUUAUGAACGCUUGGCAGCAGCGUGCUGAUGAUUACUCCCUCGUUCAGUGCGGCAUGCUUUACAGCCUAGAACCGGGUCUCCAAAAGCGUUUUGAGAAACAUGGAGCAUAUGAGAUGUUCGAGGAGCUGAAAUUGGUUUUCCAAGCUCAUGCCCGGGUCGAGAGAUAUGAUGUCUCCGACAAGUUCUUCAGCUGUAAAAUGGAGGAGAAUAGUUCUGGUAGUGAGCACAUACUCAGAAUGUCUGGGUUGCACAACCGCUUGUCUCAGCUGGGAGUUAAUCUCCCGGAUGACGCGGUCAUUGACAGAAUCCUCCAGUCGCUUCCACCAAGCUACAAGAGCUUUAUGAUGAACUACAAUAUGCAGGGGAUGGAAAAGACCAUUCCUGAGGUAUAUUCAAUGCUGAAAUCAGCGGAAGGGGAGAUCAGAAAAGAACAUCAAGUGUUGAUGGUGAAUAAAACCACUAAGUUCAAGAAGGGCAAGGGUAAGAAGAACUUCAAGAAGGACGGCAAGGGAGUUGCCGCGCCCGGUAAACCAGUUACUGGGAAGAAGUCAAAGAAUGGACCCAAGCCCGAGACUGAGUGCUUUUAUUGCAAGGGAAGUGGUCACUAGAAGCGGAACUGCCCCAAAUACUUAGCGGACAAGAAGAAGGCCGGCAACACCAAAGGUAUAUGUGAUAUACAUGUAAUUGAUGUGUACCUUACCAGUACUCGUAGUAGCUCCUGGGUAUUUGAUACCGGUGCGGUUGCUCAUAUUUGUAACUCAAAACAGGAACUACGGAAUAAACGGAGACUGGCGAAGGACGAGGUGACGAUGCGCGUCGGGAAUGGUUCCAAGGUCGAUGUGAUUGCCGUCGGCACGCUACCUCUGCAUCUACCCACGGGAUUAGUUUUAAACCUCAAUAAUUGUUAUUUAGUGCCAGCUUUGAGCAUGAACAUUGUAUCUGGAUCUCGUUUAAUUCGAGAUGGCUACUCAUUUAAAUCCGAGAAUAAUGGUUGUUCUAUUUAUUUGAGAGAUAUGUUUUAUGGUCAUGCCCCGCUGGUCAAUGGUUUAUUUUUGAUGAAUCUCAAACGUGAUGUUACACAUGUUCAUAGUGUGAAUACCAAAAGAUGUAAAGUUGAUAACGAUAGUCCCACAUACUUGUGGCACUGCCGCCUUGGUCACAUUGGUGUCAAGCGCAUGAAGAAGCUCCAUGCAGAUGGACUUUUGGAGUCUCUUGAUUACGAAUCAUUUGACACGUGCGAACCAUGCCUCAUGGGUAAGAUGACCAAGACUCCGUUCUCCGGAACAAUGGAGCGAGCAACCAACUUAUUGGAAAUCAUACAUACCGAUGUGUGUGGUCCAAUGAGUGUUGAGGCUCGCGGAGGAUAUCGUUAUGUUCUCACUCUCACUAAUGAUUUAAGUAGAUAUGGGUAUGUCUACCUAAUGAAACACAAGUCUGAAACCUUUGAAAAGUUCAAGGAAUUUCAGAGUGAAGUUGAGAAUCAACGUGACAGGAGAAUAAAAUUCUUACGAUCAGAUCGUGGUGGAGAAUAUUUAAGUCACGAGUUUGGUGCACACCUAAGGAAAUGUGGAAUAGUUUCACAACUCACGCCGCCUGGAACACCUCAGAGAAAUGGUGUGUCCGAACGUCGUAAUCGCACUCUAUUGGAUAUGGUGCGAUCUAUGAUGUCUCUUACCGAUUUACCGCUCUCAUUUUGGGGCUAUGCUUUAGAGACUGCUGCAUUCACUUUAAAUAGGGCUCCGUCGAAAUCCGUUGAGACGACACCGUAUGAAUUAUGGUUUGGGAAGAAACCUAAGCUGUCGUUUCUAAAAGUUUGGGGAUGCGAUGCUUAUGUCAAGAAACUUCAACCUGAAAAGCUCGAACCCAAGUCGGAAAAAUGCGUCUUCAUAGGAUACCCUAAGGAAACUAUUGGGUAUACCUUCUACCUCAGAUCCGAAGGCAAGAUCUUCGUUGCCAAGAACGGGUCCUUUCUAGAGAACGAGUUUCUCUCAAAAGAAUUGAGUGGGAGGAAAGUGGAACUUGAUGAGGUGAUAGUCACCCCUUCCGAACCGGAAAGUAGCGCAGCACGGGAAAAUGUUCUUGUGGUGCCUACACUGACUGGGGAGGAAGUUAAUGAUGAUGAUCAUGAAGCUUCGGAUCAAGUUGCUACUGAACUUCGUAGGUCCACAAGGACACGUUCCGCACCAGAGUGGUACGGCAACCCUGUCCUGGAAAUCAUGUUGUUAGACAAUGGUGGACCUUCAAACUAUGAAGAAGCGAUGGCGGGCCCGGAUUCCGACAAAUGGCUAGAAGCCAUGAAAUCCAAGAUAGAAUCCAUGUAUGAAAACAAAGUAUGGACUUUGACUGACUUGCCCGAUGAGCGGCGAGCCAUAGAAAACAAAUGGAUCUUUAAGAAGAAGACGGGCGCGGAUGGUAAUGUGACCAUCUACAAAGCUCGACUUGUCGCUAAGGGUUAUCGACAAGUUCAAGGGGUUGACUACGAUGAGACUUUCUCACCCGUAGCGAAGCUGAAGUCCGUCCAAAUCAUGUUAGCAAUUGCCGCAUACUAUGAUUAUGAGAUAUGGCAGAUGGACGUCAAAACGGCAUUCCUUAAUGGCUUCCUUAAGGAAGAACUGUAUAUGAUGCAGCCGAAAGGUUUUGUCGAUCCUAAGAAUGCUAACAAAGUAUGCAAGCUCCAGCACUCAAUCUAUGGGCUGGUGCAAGCAUCUCGGAGUUGGAACAUUCGCUUUGAUGAGAUGAUCAAAGCGUUUGGGUUUACACAGACUUAUGGAGAAGCCUGUGUUUACAAGAAAGUGAGUGGGAGCUCUGUAGCAUUUCUCAUAUUAUAUGUGGAUGACAUACUAUUGAUGGGAAAUGAUAUAGAAUUCUUGGAAAGUAUAAAGGCAUAUUUGAAUAAGUGUUUUUCAAUGAAGGACCUUGGAGAAGCUGCUUAUAUAUUAGGCAUCAAGAUCUAUAGAGAUAGAUCAAGACGCCUCAUUGGUCUUUCACAGAGUACAUACCUUGACAAGAUAUUGAAGAAGUUCAAUAUGGAUCAGUCCAAGAAGGGGUUCUUGCCUGUAUUGCAAGGUGUGCAAUUGAGCACAGCUCAAUGCCCGACCACGGCAGAAGAUAUAGAAAAGAUGAGUGUCAUCCCCUAUGCCUCGGCCAUAGGGUCUAUUAUGUAUGCCAUGCUGUGUACCAGACCUGAUGUAAACCUUGCCGUAAGUUUGGUAGGAAGGUACCAAAGUAAUCCCGGCAUGGAACACUGGACAGUGGUCAAGAAUAUCCUGAAGUACCUGAAGAGGACUAAGGAUAUGUUUCUCGUUUAUGGAGGUGACGAAGAGCUCGUCGUAAAGGGUUACGUCGACGCUAGCUUCGACACAGAUCUGGAUGACUCGAAGUCACAAACCGGAUACGUGUAUAUUUUGAAUGGAGGAGCAGUAAGCUGGUGCAGUUGCAAGCAAAGCGUCGUGGCGGGAUCUACAUGUGAAGCGGAGUACAUGGUAGCCUCGGAGGCAGCACAGGAAGCAGUCUGGAUGAAGGAGUUCAUUACCGACCUAGGGGUGAUUCCCAAUGCGUCGGGCCCGAUGACUCUCUUCUGUGACAACACUGGAGCCAUUGCCCUUGCGAAGGAGCCCAGGUUUCACAGGAAGACCAGGCAUAUCAAGCGUCGCUUCAACUCCAUUCGUGAAAGUGUUCAAAAUGGAGACAUAGAUAUUUGUAAAGUACAUACGGACCUGAAUGUAGCAGAUCCGUUGACUAAACCUCUCCCUAGGGCAAAACAUGAUCAACACCAGGACGCAAUGGGUGUUCGAUUCAUCACAAUGUAACUAGAUUAUUGACUCUAGUGCAAGUGGGAGACUGUUGGAAAUAUGCCCUAGAGGCAAUAAUAAAUGGUUAUUAUUAUAUUUCUUUGUUCAUGAUAAUCGUCUAUUGUUCAUGCUAUAAUUGUAUUGUCCGGAAAUCGUAAUACAUGUGUGAAUACAUAGACCACAACGUGUCCCUAGUAAGCCUCUAGUUGACUAGCUCAUUGAUCAAUAGAUAGUCAUGGUUUCCUGACUAUGGACAUUGGAUGUCAUUGAUAACGGGAUCACAUCAUUAGGAGAAUGAUGUGAUGAACAAGACCCAAUCCUAAGCAUAGCAUAAAAGAUCGUGUAGUUUCGUUUGCUAGAGCUUUUCCAAUGUCAAGUAUCUUUUCCUUAGACCAUGAGAUCGUGCAACUCCCGGAUACCGUAGGAGUGCUUUGGGUGUGCCAAACGUCACAACGUAACUGGGUGACUAUAAAGGUGCACUACGGGUAUCUCCGAAAGUGUCUGUUGGGUUGGCACGGAUCGAGACUGGGAUUUGUCACUCCGUGUGACGGAGAGGUAUCUCUGGGCCCACUCGGUAAUGCAUCAUCAUAAUGAGCUCAAUGUGACUAAGGCGUUAGUCACGGGAUCAUGCAUUGCGGUACGAGUAAAGAGACUUGCCGGUAACGAGAUUGAACAAGGUAUUGGGAUACCGACGAUCGAAUCUCGGGCAAGUAACAUACCGAUUGACAAAGGGAAUUGCAUACGGGAUUGAUUGAAUCCUCGACACCGUGGUUCAUCCGAUGAGAUCAUCGUGGAACAUGUGGGAUCCAACAUGGGUAUCCAGAUCCCGCUGUUGGUUAUUGACCGGAGAGGUGUCUCGGUCAUGUCUGCAUGUCUCCCGAACCCGUAGGGUCUACACACUUAAGGUUCAGUGACGCUAGGGUUGUAGAGAUAUGUGUAUGCGGAAACCCGAAAGUUGUUCGGAGUCCCGGAUGAGAUCCCGGAUGUCACGAGAGGUUCCGGAAUGGUCCGGAGGUGAAGAAUUAUAUAUAGGAAGUCAAGUUUCGGCCACCGGGAAAGUUUCGGGGGUUACCGGUAUUGUACCGGGACCACCGGAAGGGUCCCGGGGGUCCACCGGGUGGGGCCACCUAUCCCGGAGGGCCCCAUGGGCUGAAGUGGGAAGGGAACCAGCCCCUAGUGGGCUGGGCNNNNNNNNNNNNNNNNNNNNNNNNNNNNNNNNNNNNNNNNNNNNNNNNNNNNNNNNNNNNNNNNNNNNNNNNNNNNNNNNNNNNNNNNNNNNNNNNNNNNNNNNNNNNNNNNNNNNNNNNNNNNNNNNNNNNNNNNNNNNNNNNNNNNNNNNNNNNNNNNNNNNNNNNNNNNNNNNNNNNNNNNNNNNNNNNNNNNNNNNNNNNNNNNNNNNNNNNNNNNNNNNNNNNNNNNNNNNNNNNNNNNNNNNNNNNNNNNNNNNNNNNNNNNNNNNNNNNNNNNNNNNNNNNNNNNNNNNNNNNNNNNNNNNNNNNNNNNNNNNNNNNNNNNNNNNNNNNNNNNNNNNNNNNNNNNNNNNNNNNNNNNNNNNNNNNNNNNNNNNNNNNNNNNNNNNNNNNNNNNNNNNNNNNNNNNNNNNNNNNNNNNNNNNNNNNNNNNNNNNNNNNNNNNNNNNNNNNNNNNNNNNNNNNNNNNNNNNNNNNNNNNNNNNNNNNNNNNNNNNNNNNNNNNNNNNNNNNNNNNNNNNNNNNNNNNNNNNNNNNNNCUAUAUAAAGGGGGGAGGGAGGGCAGCAACACACAGCCUUGGGCGCCUCCCUCUCCCCCUGUUACACCUCUCCGUCUCGCAGAAGCUCGGCGAAGCCCUGCCGAGACCCGCUACAUCCACCACCACGCCGUCGUGCUGCUGGAUCUCCAUCAACCUCUCCUUCCCCCUUGCUGGAUCAAGAAGGAGGAGACGUCGCUGCACCGUACGUGUGUUGAACGCGGAGGUGCCGUCCGUUCGGCACUCGGUCAUCGGUGAUUUGGAUCAUGGCGAGUACGACUCCGUCAUCCACGUUCAUUGGAACGCUUCCGCUCGCGAUCUACAAGGGUAUGUAGAUGCACUCCUUUCCCCUCGUUGCUAGUAGACUCCAUAGAUGCAUCUUGGUGAGCGUGGGAAAAUUUUAAAAUUAUGCUACGAUUACCAACAAUAAUUUCAUAAGUUCAUCCAUCUUUCCACUCAAAACAUUAAUUUCUUCUAUCGCAUGCAGUUUUUUAUUAGUAGAUCAUUCGGUGUGCCAUUGAGAAUAAUUAACCAUAAUAUUAUCUAGGAGUUUAGUAGCUUCUCCUAAAGUGAUUUCCAUAAAAGUGCCUCUCAUGGCCGAAUCUAAAAGAUUUCUAGAAGCAAAAUUCAAUCCGGCAUAAUUUUUUUGUAUAAUCAUCCAAAGAUUCAAACCAUGUGUAGGGCAAUUACGUAUCAUUAAUAUCAUCCUCUCCCAAGCUUGUGCAACAUGUUCAUGAUCAAGUUGCUUAAAAUUCAUGAUAUCGUUUCUAAGAGAGAUGAUUUUAGCGGGAGGAAAAUACUUAGAGAUAAAAGCAUCUUUGCACUUAUUCCAUGAAUCAAUACUAUUUAUAGGCAAAGACGAAAACCAAGCUUUAGCACGAUCUCUAAGCGAAAAAGGAAAUAUCUUAAAUUUAACAAUAUCAUUGUCCACAUCUUUCUUCUUUUGCAUAUCACACAAAUCAACGAAGCUAUUUAGAUGGGUAGCGGCAUCUUCACUAGGAAGGCCAGCGAAUUGAUCUUUCAUGACAAGAUUCAACAAAGCAGCAUUAAUUUCACAAGAUUCAGCAUCGGUAAGAGGAGCAAUCAGAGUGCUAAGAAAAGCAUUGUUGUUGGUAUUGGUAAAGUCACACAAUUUAGUAUUGUCUCGAGCCAUCGUGAUAAACAAGCAAUCCAACACACAAGCAAAGAAGAAGCAAGCGAAAAAGAAGCGAACGGAAAAGAGAGGGCGAAUAAAAUGGCAAGGGUGAAGUGGGGGAGAGGAAAACAAGAGGCAAAUGGCAAAUAAUGUAAUGCGAGGGAUAAGAGUUUGUGAUGGGUACUUGGUAUGUCUUGAUUUGUGCGUAGACUCCCCGGCAACGGCGCCAGAAAUGGCUCGUUGACGGGAAAUCAAAUCUUGAAUUGACUUGGCGCGAAUCUCCCCGGCAACGGCGCCAGAAAUCCUUCUUGCUACCUCUUGAGCACUGCGUUGAUUUUCCCUUGAAGAGGAAAGGGUGAUGCAGUAAAGUAGCGUAAGUAUUUCCCUCCGUUUUUGAGAACCAAGGUAUCAAUCCAGUAGGAGACCACGCGCGAGUCCCACGCACCUACACAAACAAAUAAGAACCUCGCAACCAACGCGAUAAAGGGGUUGUCAAUCCCUUCACGGUCACUUACGAGAGUGAGAUCUGAUAGAUAUGAUAAGAUAAUAUUUUUGGUAUUUUUUUAUGAUAAAGAGAAAUAAAGAUGCAAAGUAAAAUAAACGGCAAUAGAAAUAGCUAAGUGUUGGAAGAUUAAUAUGAUGGAAGAUAGACCCGGGGGCCAUAGGUUUCACUAGUGGCUUCUCUCAAGAUAGCAUAAGUAUUACGGUGGGUAAACGAAUUACUGUCGAGCAAUUGAUAGAAUUGAGCAUAGUUAUGAGAAUAUCUAGGUAUGGUCAGGUAUAUAGGCAUCACGUCCAUGACAAGUAGACCGAAACAAUUCUGCAUCUACUACUAUUACUCCACACAUCGACCGCUAUCCAGCAUGCAUCUAGAGUAUUAAGUUCAUAAGAACAGAGUAAUGCUUUAAGUAAGAUGACAUGAUGUAGACGGAUAAACUCAUGCAAUAUGAUAUAAACCCCAUCUUUUUAUCCUCGAUGGCAACAAUACAAUACGUGUUGUAUCCCCUUCUGUCACUGGGAUCGAGCACCGCAAGAUUGAACCAAAGCUAAGCACUUCUCCCAUUGCAAGAAAGAUCAAUCUAGUAGGCCAAACCAAACUGAUAAUUCGAAGAGACUUGCAAAGAUAACCAAUCAUACAUAAAAGAAUUCAGAGGAGAUUCAAAUAUUGUUCAUAGAUAAACUCGAUCAUAAACCCACAAUUCAUCGGAUCUCAACAAACACACCGCAAAAGAAGAUUACAUCGAAUAGAUCUCCAAGAAGAUCGAGGAGAACUUUGUAUUGAGAUCCAAAGAGAGAGAAGAAGCCAUCUAGCUAAUAACUAUGGACCCGAAGGUCUGAGGUAAACUACUCACACAUCAUCGGAGAGGCUAUGGUGUUGAUGUAGAAGCCCUCCGUGAUCAAUGCCCCCUCCGGCAGAGCGCUGGAAAAGGCCCCAAGAUGGGAUCUCACGGGUACAGAAGGUUGCGGUAGUGGAAAUAGGGUUUUGGCUCCAUAUCUGAUGGUUUGGGGGUACGUAGGUAUAUAUAGGAGGAAGAAGUACGUCGGUGGAGCAAGGAGGGGCCCACGAGGGUGGAGGGCGCGCCUGGGGGAGGUGGGCGCGCACCCUGCCUCGUGCCUUCCUCGUUGAUUGCUUUACGUAGACUCCAAGUCCUCUGGAUCACGGUUGUUCCGAAAAUCACGUUCCCGAAGGUUUCAUUCCGUUUGGACUCCGUUUGAUAUUCUUUUUCUGCGAAACACUGAAAUAGGCAAAAAACAGCAAUUUGGGCUGGGCCUCCGGUUAAUAGAUUAGUCCCAAAAAUAAUAUAGAAGUGCAUAAUAAAGCCCAUUAAACAUCCAAAAGAGAAUAUAAUAUAGCAUGGAACAAUCAAAAAUUAUAGAUACGUUGGAGACGUAUCAAUUUGAUGGAUUAUGGAACAAGGAGUGGCCAGAGCCUAAGCUUGGGGAUGCCCAAGGCACCCCAAGGUAAAAUAUAAGGACAACCCAAAAGCUUAAGCUUGGGAAUGCCCCGGAAGGCAUCCCCUCUUUUGUCUUCGUCCAUCGGUAACUUUACUUGGAGCUAUAUUUUUAUUCACCACAUGAUAUGUGUUUUGCUUGGAGCGUCUUGUAUGAUUUGAGUCUUUGCUUAUUAGUUGACCACAAUCAUCCUUGCUAUACACACCUUUUGAGAGAGACACACAUUAUUUGGAAAUUUAUUAGAAUACUCUAUGUGCUUCACUUAUAUCUUUUGAGCUAAACAAUUUUGCUCUAGUGCUUCACUUAUAUCUUUUAGAGCACGGUGGUGGUUAUAUUUUAUAGAAAUUGUUGAUCUCUCAUGCUUCACUUAUAUUAUUUUGAGAGUCCUUUAGAACAGCAUGGUAAUUUGCUUUGGUUAUAAAAUUAGUCCUAAUAUGAUAGGCAUCCAAGAUAAAAACUUUAAAGUGCAUUGAAUACUAAGAGAAGUUUGAUACUUGAUAGUUGUUUUGAGAUAUGGAUAUAGUGAUGUUAAAGUUGUGCUAGUUGAGUAGUUGUGAAAUUGAGAAAUACUUGUGUUGAAGUUUGCAAGUCCCGUAGCAUGCACGUAUGGUAAACGUUGUGUAACAAAUUUGAAACAUGAGGUGGUCUUUGAUUGUCAUCCUUAUGAGUGGCGGUCGGGGACGAGCGAUGGUUUUUUCCUACCAAUCUAUCCCCCUAGGAGCAUGCGUGUAGUGCUUGGUUUUUGAUGACUUGUAGAUUUUUGCAAUAAGUAUGUGAGUUCUUUAUUACUAAUGUUGAGUCCAUGGAUUAUACGCACUCUCAACCUUCCAUCAUUGCUAGCCUCUUCGGUACCGUGCAUUGCCCUUUCUCACCUUGAGAGUUGGUGCAAACUUCGCCGGUGCAUCCAAACCCCAUGAUACGAUACGCUCUAUCACACAUAAACCUCCUUAUAUCUUCCUCAAAACAGCCACCAUACCUACCUAUUAUGGCAUUUCCAUAGCCAUUCCGAGAUAUAUUGCCAUGCAACUUUCCACCGUUCCGUUUAUUAUGACACGCUUCAUCAUUGUCAUAUUGCCUUGCAUGAUCAUGUAGUUGACAUCGUAUUUGUGGCAAAGCCACCAUGCAUGUUCAUUGCCGUUCCCGGUACACCGCCGGAGGCAUUCAUAUAUAGUCAUACUUUGUUCUAGUAUCGAGUUGUAAUCAUCGAGUUGUAAAUAAAUAGAAGUGUGAUGAUCAUCAUUAAUAGAGCAUUGUCCCAAAUAAAAAAAGGAGAAAUGCCAAAUAAAAAAAGGCCCAAAAAAAGGAGAAAAAAAGAAGAGAAAUAAAAAGGGACAAUGCUACUAUCCUUUUUCCACACUUGUGCUUCAAAGUAGCACCAUGAUCUUUAUGAUAGAGAGUCUCUUGUUUUGUCACUUUCAUAUACUAGUGGGAAUUUUUCAUUAUAGAACUUGGCUUGUAUAUUCCAACGAUGGGCUUCCUCAAAUGCCCUAGGUCUUCAUGAGCAAGCAAGUUGGAUGCACCCCCACUUAGUUUCUUUUGUUGAGCUUCCAUACAUUUAUAGCUCUAGUGCAUCCGUUGCAUGGCAAUCCCUACUCCUUGCAUUGACAUCAAUUGAUGGGCAUCUCCCUAGCCCGUUGAUUAGCCGCGUCAAUGUGAGACUUUCUCCUUUUUUGUCUUCUCCACAUAACCCCCAUCAUUAUAUUCUAUUCCACCCAUAGUGCUAUAUCCAUGGCUCACGCUCAUGUAUUGCAGGAAAGUUGAAAAAAGUUUGAGAUUACUAAAGUAUGAAACAAUUGCUUGGCUUGUCAUCGGGGUUGUGCAAGAUGAGAGCAUCUUGUGUGACGAAAAUGAAGCAUGCCCAAGCUAUCUGAUUUUGUAGGGAUGAGCUUUCUUUGGCUAUGUUAUUUUGAGAAGACAUAAUUGCUUGGUUAGUAUGCUUGAAGUAUUAUUAUUUUUAUGCCAAUAUUAAACUUUUAUCUUGAAUCUUUCGGAUCUGAACAUUCAUGCCACAAUAAAGAAAAUUACAUUGAAGAAUAUGCUAAGUAGCAUUCCACAUCAAAAAUUCUGUUUUUAUCAUUUACCUACUCGAGGAUGAGCAGGAAUUAAGCUUGGGGAUGCUUGAUACGUCUCUAACAUAUCUAUAAUUUUUGAUUGCUCCAUGCUAUUAUAUAUUCUGUUUUGGAUGUUUAAUGGGCUUAUUUAUACACUUCUAUAUUAUUUUUGGGACUAACCUAUUAACCCAAGGCCCAGUGCGAAUUGCUGUUUUUUUGCCUAUUUCAGUGUUUCGCAGAAAAGGAAUAUCAAAUGGAGUCCAAAUGGAAUGAAACCUUCGGGAGCCUGAUUUUUGGAACAAACGUGAUCCAGAGGACUUGGAGUGGACGUCAAGAAAUCAACGAGGAGGCCACGAGGCAGGGGCGCGCCUACCCCCCCUGGGCGUGCCCUCCACCCUCGUGGGCCCCUUGUGGCUCCACCGACCUACUUCUUCCUCCUAUAUAUACCUACGUACCCCGAAACCAUCGAGGAGCACCACAAAACCCUAUUUCCACCGCCGCAACCUUCGGUACCCGUGAGAUCCCAUCUUGGGGCCUUUUCCGGCGCUCUGCUGGAGGGGGCAUCGAUCAUGGAGGGGUUCUACAUCAACACCAUAGCCUCUCCGAUGAUGUGUGACUAGUUUACCACAGACCUUCGGGUCCAUAGUUAUUAGCUAGAUGGCUUCUUCUCUCUCUUUGGAUCUCAAUACAAAGUUCUCCUUGAUCUUCUUGGAGAUCUAUUUGAUGUAACUCUUUUUGCGGUGUGUUUGUCGAGAUCCGAUGAAUUGUGGGUUUAUGAUCAAGAUUAUCUAUGAACAAUAUUUGAAUCUUCUCUGAAUUUUUUAUGUAUGAUUGGUUAUCUUUGCAAGUCUCUUCGAAUUAUCAGUUUGGUUUGGCGUACUAGAUUGAUCUUUCUUGCAAUGGGAGAAGUGCUUAGCUUUGGGCUCAAUCAUGUGAUGCUCGAUCCCAGUGACAGUAGGGGAAAUGACACGUAUUGUAUUGUUGCCAUCGAGGAUAAAAAGAUGGGGUUUAUAUCAUAUUGCUUGAGUUUAUCCCUCUACAUCAUGUCAUCUUGCCUAAUGCGUUACUCUGUUCUUAUGAACUUAAUACUCUAGAUGCAUGAUGGAUAGCGGUCGAUGUGUGGAGUAAUAGUAGUAGAUGGAGGCAGGAGUCGGUCUACUUGUUGCGGACGUGAUGCCUAUAUACAUGAUCAUGCUUAGAUAUUCCCAUAAUUAUGAACUUUUCUAUCAAUUGCUCGACAGUAAUUUGUUCACCCAUCGUAAUACUUAUGCUAUCUUGAGAGAAGCCACUAGUGAAACCUAUGGCCCCCAGGUCUAUCUUCCAUCAUAUUAAUCUUCCGUCAACUAGCUAUUUCUGUCGCCGUUUAUUUUGCAAUCUUUACUUUCAAUCUUUAUCAUAAAAAUACCAAAACUAUUAUCUUAUCAUCUCUAUCAGAUCUCACUUUUGCAAGUGGCCGUGAAGGGAUUGACAACCCCUUUAUCGCGUUGGUUGCAAGGUUCUUAUUUGUUUGUGUAGGUACGAGGGACUUGCGUGUGGCCUCCUACUGGAUUGCUACCUUGGUUCUCAAAAACUGAGGGAAAUACUUACGCUACUUUGCUGCAUCACCCUUUCCUCUUCAAGGGAAAACCAACGCAUUCUCAAGAGGUAGCAAUGCCACGUGUCGGUCACCCUUGACGAAAGCACUUCCACGACGCGCGAUUUAUCGUCAUGGAAGUGGACACUUCCGUGAUGAUAAUUUUGGUAAUGUCAUGGAACACUUCUAUGACCGCACAGGUAUGACUAUCUUGAGUCUGUCAUAAAUUUGUCAUGGAUGUAAAUGCAUGACAGAAAACAUGACCUACUGUGACAAACACGUAUCAUCACGGAAGUGUAUUUUUUUAGGUGGAUGUUGAAGUCUUGUGUGGGAAAAUAAAACACCCUACUGAUUUUCUUGUUCUUGGUUCCCCACAAGAUGACUUUUUUCCCAUUAUCUUUGGUAGACCUUUCUUGAACACCAUUAAUGCUAAAAUAGACUCUGAGAAACAAACUGUCGGUGGUAGUUUUGGUGAUGAGUCUCAUGAGUUUAAAUUUUCCAAGUUUAGGAGAAAGCUUCAUGAAAAAGAAUUGCCUGGUAAGGAUGAAUUAAUUGGUCUUGCUUCUAUUGUUGUACCACCUACUGAUCCUUUAGAACAAUAUUUGCUAGACCAUGAAAAUGAUUUUCAUAUGCAUGAAAGAAAUGAAAUAGAUACGAUUUUCUUUGAACAACGUCCUCUUCCUAAACACAAUUUUCCUAUUGAAACUCUAGGAGGUCCUCCUCCACCUAAGGGUGAUCCCGUGUUUGAAUUAAAACAAUUGCCAGACACUUUGAAAUAUGCUUAUCUUGAUGAAAAGAAGAUAUAUCAUGUUAUUGUUAGUGCUAACCUUUCAGAACAUGAACAAGAAAGAUUAUUGGAAGUUCUAAGGAAGCACCGAGCUGCUAUUGGAUUACUCUUGAUGAUUUAAAGGGCAUUAGUCCCACUCUAUGUCAGCACAAAAUUAAUAUGGAACCUGAUGCUAAACCCAUUGUUGAUCACCAACGUCGGUUAAAUCCGAAGAUGAAGGAAGUGGUAAGAACGGAAAUCUUAAACUUUUGGAAGCAGGUAUAAUCUAUCCUAUAGUUGAUAGUAGAUGGGUAAGUCCUUUUCAUUGUAUCCCUAAGAAAGGAGGUAUAACUGUUGUUCAUAAUGAUAAGAAUGAACUUAUUCCACAAAGAAUUGUUAUAGGUUAUAGACUGGUAAUUGAUUUUAGAUAAUUAAACAAAGCAACUAGAAAAGAUCAUUACCCUCUGCCUUUUAUUUAUCAAAUGCUUGAAAGAUUAUCUAAGCACACACACGUUUGCUUCCUUGAUGGAUAUUCUGGUUUUCACAAAUACCUGUUUCUCAACCUGAUCAAGAAAAGACCAUUUUUAUUUGUCCCUUUGGAACUUAUGCUUAUAGACGUAUGCCUUUCGGUUUAUGUAAUGCACCUGCUACCUUUCAAAGAUGUAUGACUACUAUAUUCUCUGACUUUUGUGAAAAGAUUGUUGAGGUUUUCAUGGAUGAAUUCUCUGUUUAUGGGAAGUCUUUUGAUGAUUGUUUAAGCAAUCUUGAACGAGUUUUGCAGAGAUGUGAACAAACAAAUCUUGUUUUGAAUUGGGAGAAGUGUCACUUUAUGGUUAAUGAAGGCAUUGUCUUGGGUCAUAAAAUUUCUGAAAGAGGUAUUGAAGUGGACAAAGCUAAGGUUUAUGCAAUUGAGAAAAUGCCAUGUCCUAAAGAUAUAAAAGGUAUUCGUAGUUUCUUAGGUCAUGCUGGUUUCUAUAGGAGAUUUAUUAAAGACUUCUCUAAAAUUUCUAGGCCUCUUACGAGUCUUUUCCAAAAGGAUAUUCCUUUCAUUUUUGAUGAUGAUUGUUUAGAAGCCUUUGAAACACUCAAGAAAGCCUUAAUUUCUGCACCUAUUGUUCAACCACCUGACUGGAACUUACCUUUUGAAAUUAUGUGUGAUGCUAGUGAUUAUGCUGUUGGUGCUGUUCUAGGACAAAGAGUUGAUAAGAAACUGAAUGUUAUUCAUUAUGCUAGCAAAACUCUAGACAGUGCUCAAAGAAAUUAUGCUACUACUGAAAAAGAAUUCUUAGUAGUGGUGUUUGCUUGUGACAAAUUUAGACCUUAUAUUGUUGAUUCCAAAGUAACUGUUCACACAGACCAUGCUGCUAUUAAAUAUCUUAUGAAAAAGAAAGAUGCUAAACCUAGACUUAUUCGAUGGGUUCUCUUGUUACAAGAAUUUGAUUUACAUAUCAUUGAUAGAAAAGGAUCUGAGAACCCAGUAGCUGAUAAUUUAUCUAGGCUUGAAAAUGUGCCUGAUGAACCACUACCUAUUGAUGAUAGUUUUUGUGAUGAGUAGUUAGCUGCAAUAAAUGUUGCUCAUAAUAUUCCUUGGUAUGCUGAUUAUGUUAAUUACAUUGUUGCUAAAUUUUUACCACCCAGCUUUACAUACCAGCAAAAGAAAAAUUCUUCUAUGAUUUAAGACAUUACUUUUGGGAUGACCCACAUCUUUAUAAAGAAGGAGUAGAUGGUAUUGUUAGACGUUGUGUACCUGAGCAUGAACAGGAACAAAUCCUACGGAAAUGUCACUUCGAAGCUUAUGGAGGGCAUCAUGCUGGAGACAGAACUGCUCACAAGGUAUUGUAAUCUGGAUUUUAUUGGCCUACUGUCUUCAAGGAUGCCCGUAAGUUCGUCUUAUCUUGUGAUGAAUGUCAAAUAAUAGGUAAUAUCGUUAAGCGUCAAGAAAUGCCUAUGAAUUAUUCACUUGCUAUUGAACCAUUUGAUGUUUGGGGAUUUGAUUACAUGGGACCUUUUCCUUCCUCUAAUGGGUAUACACAUAUUUUGGUUGCUGUUGAUUAUGUUACUAAAUGGGUAGAAGCUAUUCCAACCAGUAGUGUUGAUCACAACACCUCUAUUAAAAUGCUUAAGGAAGUUAUUUUCCCAAGGUUUGGAGUCCCUAGAUAUUUAAUGACUGAUGGUGGUUCACACUUUAUUCAUGGUGCUCUCCGUAAAAUGCUUGCCAAGUAUGAUGUUAACCAUAGAAUUGCGUCACCUUAUCAUCCUCAGUCUAGUGGUCAAGUUGAACUUAGCAAUAGAGAAAUAAAAUUAAUUUUGCAAAAGACUGUCAAUAGGUCCAGGAAGAAUUGGUCUAAGAAAUUAGAUGAUGCACUUUGGGUUUAUAGAACAGCUUAUAAAAAUCCUAUGGGUAUGUCUCCUUAUAAAAUGGUUUACGGAAAAGCUUGUCAUUUGCCUCUUGAGUUAGAACAUAAAGCAUAGUGGGUCAUCAAAGAGCUCAAUUAUGAUUUCAAACUUGCUGGUGAAAAGAGGUUAUUUGCUAUUAGCUCCUUAGAUGAAUGGAGAACGCAAGCUUAUGAAAAUGCAAAAUUAUUCAAAGAAAAAGUAAAAAGAUGGCAUGCCAAAAGAAUACAAAAGCGUGAGUUUAAAGUCGGAGAAUAUGUUCUUUUGUACAACUCUCAUUUUAGAUUCUUUGCAGGAAAACUCCUCUCAAAAUGGGAAGGCCCCUAUGUUAUCAAGGAGGUUUAUCGGUCUGGAGCCAUCAAAAUAAAUAAUUCCGAAGGUACUAACCCGAAGGUUGUCAAUGGGCAACGAAUAAAACAUUAUAUCUCAGGUACGCCCAUUAAUGUUGAAAGUAAUAUUAUCCAAACUUUGACACCGGAAGAACACAUAAAAGAGUCCUUCCAGAAUACUCUAGAAUCGUGAAAAAAGGAGGUAUGUGAUACGUUAAGUAAACGGACUCCGAAAAAUCCGCAAAAUAUUUUUUAUCAGUUUUGGAAUAUUUAGAAACUUAGGAAAUAAAGAAACUUCCAGGAAGCGUACCCUGGUGGGCACAGGACACCAUGGGUUGUGCCCACCUGGGACACCUUCCGGACUCCGUUUUUCUACAACUUGCUUGUCCACCAAGAUAAAAAAUCUAUAUAUACUUCCCGAACCUGUUGAUCACCAUAUCGCGGAAGAAAUCCUCUGUCUUCUUUUCCUUGUUGUCUUCUAUCAGAUCCCAUCUACCAUGGCCGCUUCAAGCUCCUCCAAGGACAAGUUCUUCAAGAACGUCAUCAAUCCAUACCUUCGGGAGGUGGUGCAACACCCUCAGGUCAUCCAGAUGCAUGAGGGGGUGCUUCACCUCCGCAAUGUGCCUUGUCCCAAGGGGCGGGAACCGUGGAGGCCAGGCUUGAAGCUAUGGAGCAAGACGUCUUCCGGUGCAAGGGGAUAGUGGAGCGUGGACUCAACGCUAAUCACCUUAUGGUCACGGACCUCUUCCGUGAUCUCAAGGUGGAUGGCAAGCCCAUGAAGGACAUCGUCUUCACCCUCAACGUGCAAAUCAACUUCCUCCAAAGCCAUAUCUAUGACCUCCAAAACCAAGUCUUUGAAUAUGAGGCGAGGUUUAAAGGUAUGAGUUUGACUGCUAGUUGCAGGACCCGUGAGACUCACUCCUCCUCUUAUGAUGGUGGACCACUACCAUGGAAAUCCGAGGAGAAGAUCUCUCCUUCAUCACCAUCAUCUUCUUCACCACCAAAAGAAAACUGAGUAUUGGGUAUGGGCACUCCCGUUGGCUUCUGCCAAGCUUGGGGGAGGUGCCCCGGUAUCGUAUCAUCCCACUAUCUUUUUUGCCUUUAGUUAUUUUGGUUCGAUCUUUUACUUUAGAUGAAUAAAAGUUUAGUUCGAUCCUUUCUUCUUUGAGAGUUUGCUUAGUGAUCUAUCCUUGUAAUCGUGUGCAAGUUAUAUAAUAAAGUUUAGUUUGAGUUUUUGCUUUCUUUACUUUCAUGUUGUAAAUAAAAAAAGAAAUAAUAAAGAAAAAGAGAAAGGAAAUAAAUAAAAGAAAGGAAAUAAAUGAAGAAAAGAUCAUAUACUAAUCUUAUGGUAGGUGAUGACACCACAUAAGGAAAAGUAUAAGUAGAAAAUUUUAUUAGAGAUUGACAAACAUAGCAUUAGUCAAUGAUGCAACUCAUGAAAGAAUUAAUAAGGGAAGAGAAGAUUCACAUAUAAAUAUACUAUCCUAGAAAUAUUUUGCGAUUGUGAGCCCUCAUCAAAUAUUAUAUGCCAAAAUUGUUGACGUUGGACAAGGAAGACAACUUAAUGGUUUAUGUUUGUUUAUAUUCACAUAGAAGUCAUAUUGUCAUGGAUCCUUUAACAUGUGGUGCUUGCCCAUAUCUUUGCUAGCUAAAAAUUCCGCACUAAGUAGAGAUACUACUAGUGCAUCUAAAAACCCUUAAACCCAAAUCGUAUUUUCAAGUGUCCACCAUACCUACCUAGGGAUUGAGCAAGAUCCCUCAAGUAAGUUGUCAUUGGUGCAAAAAGGCAAUAAAAAUUGCUUCUAAAUGUGUGAGAUCAUUUAGCGUAAGAGAAAAUUGAGCGUUGCACAAACUUGUGAUGGUGAAUAAUAAAAGCGACAAACUACAUAAUAAAGGUCGCUAUCACAAGGGGCAAUGCAACGUGACGUUCUUUUGCAUUAAGGGUUUGAGCAUAUAAACAAAUAAGUGCAUGGCAACCUCUGCUUCCCUCUACGAAGGGCCUAUCUUUUACUUUUGUGUAUUUACUUUUAUGCAAAGAGUCAAAUUUUUCCUUCUAUCCCUUUUUAUUUUUCUCCUUUGGCAAGCAUCAUGUGGCGAGGAAAGAUCUAGGCACAUAUGUCCAGUUGAAUAUAGAUAGCAUGAGUUAGUUGACAUCACCCUCGAGGUGAAUACGUUGGGAGGCGAAACUAUAAGCCCCUAUCUUUCUAUGUGUCCGGUUGAAACGUUUUGCUCAUGUGUACGCGGUGAGUGUUAGCAAUCAUAGAAGACUAUAUGAUGGUUGAGUAUGUGGACUUGCCAAAAGGCUCCGAUACGUGACCCUUCUUGAAAAGAUGAUGAAUUGUAGUUACAAAGUUGACUGAGAACAUAGUUUGUUGGUUUUUAAUAGAGUUUUUACUUUAUACUUUAUUUGUGUUGUGAAUUGUUACUUAUUCAUGAGAAGUAUAUGAUAGAAGUAUAUGACAAAAGUUCUAUGAUAAAAGUUUUAUGUUUAAUUUUGUUGUUGUUAUAAUAACCUACAUGAUGCUUCUAUGUCCAUAUUUUGUUUUUUAUCGACACCUCUCUCUCAAAGCAUGUGGACAUGUUUUACGAUUUUGGUUUCCGUUUGAGGACAAGCGAGGUCUAAGCUUGGGGGAGUUGAUACGUCCAUUUUGCAUCAUGUUUUCUUACUGUUAUUUAUAAUGUUUUUAUCCAUAAUAAUGCUUUUUGGAGUAAUUCUAAUGCGUUUUCUCUCAUAAUAUGCAAGGUAUACACAAAGAGGGAGAAUUCCGGCAGCUGGAAAUCUGGACCUGGAAAAGCUACGUCAGGCCACCUAUUCUGCACAACUCCAAACAAGCUGAAACUUCACGGAGAAUUUUUAUAGAUUAUUUGAGGAAUAUUGGAGCAAAUAACUACCAGAGGGGGCCCACCAGGUGGGCACAACCCACCUGGGAGCGCCAGGGAGCCCAGGCGCGCCUGGUGGGUUGUGCUCACCCAGGCGCACCUUCGGUGCCCAUCUUCUGGUAUAUAGGUCAUUUUGACCUAGAAAAAAUAAGGAGAAGACUUUCAGGAUGGAGCGCCGCUGUCUUGAGGCGGAAUUUGGGCAGGAGCACUUUUGCCCUCCGGCGGAGCGAUUCCGCCGGGGGAACUUCCCUCCUGGAGGGGGAAAUCAUCAUCAUCAUCAUCACCAACAACUCUCCCAUCUUGGGGAGGGCAAUCUCCAUCAACAUCUUCAACAGCACCAUCUCAUCUCAAACCCUAGUUCAUCUCUUGUGUUCAAUCUUGUUACCGAAACUAUAGAUUGGUGCUUGUGGGUGACUAGUAGUGUUGACUACAUCUUGAAGUUGAUUACUGUAUGGUUUACUUGGUGGAAGAUCAUAUGUUCAGAUCCAAUAUGCUAUUUAAUACCCCUCUGAUCUUGAGCAUGAUUAUCAUUUGUGAUUAGUUACUUUUGUUCUGGAGGUCACGGGAGAAAUCAUGUUGCAAAGAAUCAUGUGAACUUGAUAUGUGUUCGGUAUUUUGAUACUAUGUAUGUUGUGAUUCCCUUAGUGGUGUCAUGUGAACGUCGACUACGUGACACUUCACCAUAUGUGGGCCUAAGGUAAUGCAUUGUGGAGUAGCAAUUAGAUAAUGGGUUGCGAGAGUGACAGAAGCUUAAACCACAGUUUAUGCGCUAUUCAGUAAGGGACCGAUUGGAUCCAAAAGUUUAAUGCUAUGGUUAGAAUUUAUUCUUAAUACUUUUCUCGUAGUUGCGGAUGCUUGCGGGAGGGUUAAUCAUAAGUAGGAGGUUUGUUCAAGUAAGAACAACACCUAAGCACCGGUCCACCCACAUAUCAAAUUAUCAAAGUACCGAACACGAAUUAAACCAACAUGAUGAAAGUGACUAGAUGAAAAUCCUUUGCUUAUCAUAAGAGACCGUUUUGGCCUGUCCUUUGCCUCAAAAGGAUUGGGCUACCUUGCUGCACUUUUGUUACUACUAUCGUUACUUGCCCGUUACAAAUUACCUUGCUAUCAAACUACUUUGUUACUUAUAAUUUCAGCACUUGCAGACAUUACCUUGCUGAAAACCACUUGUCAUUUACUUCUGCUCCUCGUUGGGUUUGACACUCUUACUUAUCGAAAAGAGCUACAAUUGACCCCCUAUACUUGUGGGUCAUCACUGCCUCACAUGGUCUUCUCGUUCAUCAAAUGGACGUUAAGACGGCUUUCCUCAAUGGAGAGUUGAAGGAGGAAAUUUACAUGGAUCAGCCAGAUGGUUUUGUAGUACCUGGUCAGGAAGGAAAGGUGUGCAAGUUAUUAAAGUCUUUAUAUGGCCUUAAACAAGCUCCUAAGGAGUGGCAUGAGAAGUUCGAAAGAACAUUAACUGCUGUCGGCUUUGUAGUAAACAAUGGUGACAAGUGUGUGCUAUCGCCAUGGUGGGGGCGAAGGAGGUAUUCUUUGUCUGUAUGUUGAUGACAUACUGAUCUUUGGAACCAAAUUUGAUCUAAUCAAGGAGGUUAAGGUUUUCUUAUCUCGCUAUUUUGAGAUGAAGGAUCUAGGAGUAGCUGAUUGUUAUCUUGAACAUUAAGCUGUUGAGAGAUGAGAAUGGUGGGAUCACACUGCUUCAGUCUCACUAUGUGGAAAAGAUCUUGAGUCGUUUUGGGUAUAGCGACUGGACGCCUUCUCCAACUCCGUAUGAUGCUAGUGUGUUGCUUCAAAAGAAUCGACGGAUUGCUAGAGAUCAACUGAGGUAUUCUCAGAUUAUUGGCUCGCUUAUGUAUUUGGCGAGUGCCACGAGACCUGACAUCUCUUUUGCUGUGAGCAAGCUGAGUGGGUUUGUGUCAAAACCAGGAGAUGAUCAUUGACAUGCGCUUGAGAUAGUUAUGCGCUACUUGAAAGGCACUGCGAGCUAUGGGGUUCACUACACCGGGUAUCCAAGGGUACUGGAGGGUUAUAGUGACUCAAACUGGAUAUCUGAUGUUGAUGAGAUUAAGGCCACAAGUGGUUAUGUUUUUACACUUGGUGGUGGUGCUGUUUCCUGGAAGUUUUGCAAGCAGACCAUUUUAACGAGGUUAACCAUGGAAGCAUAACUCACAACAUUAGACACUGCCACUGUUGAAGCAGAGUGGCUUCGUGAGCUCUUGAUGGACUUACCUAUGGUUGAAAAACAAUACCCCCUAUCCUGAUGAACUGUGAUAAUCAAACUGUGAUCGUCAAGAUAAACAGUGCUAAGGACAAUAUGAAGUCAUCAAGGCAUGUGAAGAUCAGGAGACUAAAAUCUGUCAGGAAAUUGAGGAACUCUGGAGUUAUUACGUUGGAUUAUGUCCAAACGUCGAAAAACUUGGCAGAUCCCUUCACAAAGGGUCUAUCACGUAAUGUGAUAGAUAAUGCAUCGAUGGAGAUGGGUCUGAGACCCACCGCAUGAGUUGUCCAUAGUGGUAACCCACUCUAUGUGAUCGGAGAUCCCGUGAAGUAGAAGUGGGAAACAAGCUGUUGGUCAGCUGGGAGGAGAGUAUCCCUAUAUUAAUUAUCCCACUCCGUGAAGAUGUAAUACUCUCCUGAUCUGCAUGGCAGGUUGAUACUUAUCUUAAUAUGUUCCAAGUGGCUUAUUCGGGUAAGCAGAGAUGUUGUCCUGCAGAGCAUCUCCUGAGGAACACACCUAUAUGAAUUUGAUUGUUAACGUCACAGUCUGUGAGAAAUGGGUGUUCUCUAAUAAUUUCAAGAAAGGCCUGGAUUAUGACGUAUACGCUCCACCCGCGGGGGAAGCCUUGCGGCAGCCCAACAUCGGUCAAGAAUUUGUGUGAAACUAGUCUCGCAAAAAACUUGUAGUUCAAGGCAUAGUCCACUAUUCAAGUUGUGAUCUAGUGUAGCAUAAAUCUUUGAGUGGAAGUUCAACUUUACACUCUCCACUGAGCACCGAUAUAUAAACAAUGUUUUGGAACUAAAUGAUGAGAUGUGCCAAUGAGACUUUGUGGGGGAUUGUUGUAAUUUUCCUAGUAGGCCUUUGGCCCGAAGCCCAACUAAAAUUCUGAAAUUCUCUUCCCAUUCAUGCACACAUGUGAGUGGAGUGAGUGAGACUAAAGUUUAGUCCCACCACGGAAGUUGAGUGAAACUCGCACCUCUUUAUAAGGUGAGCUCUUCUACUACUUAUAUGAGCAUGAGAAGAGACCUACACGCGCGCUCCUCCUCCUCGCUCGCCUCGCCACGCCUCGUCACGACGCGCCGCGCCGCGGGAUUGAGCCGAGCCGUGGAUAGAGCUAUGCACGUUGUUUAUAUUUUUGCUGCUCGAGAAAAAUUAAUGAUCCAUUAAUUAAUAAUUAAUGAAUGCGUUAAUUACUGAACCGUUUCUGAUUCUUUUGGAUCGCGACUCGGACGUGGGGUUUACUCCCACGACCUACCCGGCCCGCACUGUACAGUCAGGCAGAUGUCUACCCUAGCCGCCACCGCAUCGUAUGGUUUCGCACCACCGUUCCAGAUCAUUGCGCUGCCAAGCAAGUCUUCUCCAUCCCUCCUUUCGGCGUGCAUCGUGAGAAGGGACAGCAGGCCUUCGGAACCCCGCCUCUCGUGAUCCUGUACGAGAGAGGGGCGAUCAGGUUUUUGGGGAGCGCACUCGCGCGACUGCUGGCAGCGACGACUUCGCCAACGACGACUUCUUCCCCGACCUAGGCAACCUCAUCCUCGAUGACAUGGGCGACAACACCAACGCCGGCGGUGCUGUUCCCGCUGCACCGUAUGUGAUUCUAUCCUUCUUGUUCGAGAUAGUGGUAGAAUUCAUGUUUCUAGUAUGUGUCCUAGAUGUGAUAUGUUCAUCUACUAUGCUAGUUCGCAUGAUUAGUUUAAUCUCUGCUAUUGUUGUCAUGAUUUAUGUUCUGUUUAUUUGGAUUAAAUCUUGUAGUAAUUUGCUCAUUUUCCAACACCUACUACACAUAGUGGUGCAUAAAAGUUUGCCCCUCCCCCUCCAAUUUACAUGCCGCCCUCAGUUUGCAUAUUAUCCAUUGAAGAUUAAUUACAGGCACAAUCAAUAGUUUUUCUCACUCUAAAAUCAAAAGGUUAUAAACAAAGAAGACUUUGAUGUGUUUCGCAUACAGUCUUCUACUUAUCUAUUAUAAAACUGGACACCAAUGGUUUGCACUUACCGAUCGACAUCAACUUUGGUAUUAAUUUAUUCCCAAUAUAAAGGAUCAAAUUUACAAAUCUCAUCCCGGCUUCGUUGUGAUAAACACAAUGAAUCAUCAACUCAAAAAAGAAAAGAAAAAGACAACCAAUCAACCAAAAAGUCACUGCCCAGGACACAAAUACAUUGUCCAAUUAUUGAAAAGGGCAUUCAGUUUUUUUUUUGCAAGAUGAAAAGGGCAUUCAGUUAGAGUAUCACAUUAAACAACACAUGCAUCAAGCUUCUCCACGAAGAAGAAACAGCACACAAAUCCGGCAGAAAAACAGCCGCUUGCAAUUGCUUUACCAUAAAGUUAUUGCUUUCUCAACUUCAAGAAAAAAGUUAUUGCUUUUUUUAUUUGCUUACCAGCUGUCACAUGGGGCCCAAUCAAUAUGCGUGUCCCGUAGCUCCGCCAGCCUUCUAUUUAUGCUCUCUCCCAUGGACGGAGAGAGGCAUCCAGAAGCAGAAGCAAAGCUCACACAAAGUCACAAGAAUGAUGAACCCAAAGAGCCGUGUCCAAGAGUGGGUGGCCGACCACAUCGAGCUCAUCCCGGGGAUGCCCGACGACGUCGCCGUCGACUGCCUGGCGCGCGUCCCGCACGGGUCCUACCGCUCGAUGCGCCGCGUGUGCCGCGGCUGGCGGAGCGCCGCCGCCGCCCCGGAGUUCGCCCUGGCGCGCGCCGAGGCCGGUGCCAACGAGGAUCUGGUCUUUCUCAUGCAGUUUGGCAACCCGGUGGCCGGGGACGACGGGGCGCCCGAGAACACCCCGGCGUACGGCGUGGCCGUGUACAACGUCACCACCGGGGAGUGGCACCGCGAGAGCUCGGCGCCGCCGGUGCCGAUGUUCGCCCAGUGCGCGGCCGUGGGCACCCGCGUCGCCGUGAUGGGCGGCUGGGACCCCAAGACCUUCGAGCCCGUGGCGGACGUCAACGUGCUGGACGCCGCCACCGGCGUCUGGCGCCGCGGCGCGCCGAUGCGGUCCGCGCGGUCCUUCUUCGCCUGCGCCGAGGCCGGGGGCAAGAUCUAUGUCGCCGGCGGCCAUGACAAGCUCAAGAACGCGCUAAAGACGGCCGAGGCGUACGACGCGGAGGCCGACGGCUGGGACCCGCUCCCGGACAUGUCGGAGGAGCGCGACGAGUGCGACGGCAUGGCCACCGUCGCCGGCGACCGGUUCCUGGCCGUGAGCGGGUACCGCACGGGGCGUCAGGGAGGAUUCGAGCGGGACGCCGAGUGGUUCGACCCGGCGACACGCGAGUGGCGCCGCUUGGAGCGCGUGCGCGCACCGCCUUCGGCGGCUCACGUGGUGGUGCGCGGGCGGGUGUGGUGCAUCGAGGGCACGGCCGUGAUGGAGUGGCGCGGGGAGCGCCGUGGCUGGCUCGAGGUGGGCCCUUACCCGCCUGGUCUGAAGGCCGGCACGGCGCGCGCGGUCGCCGUCGGCGGCGGCGAGCGCGUGGUGGUGACCGGCGCCAUCGAGUCCGAGGGAGGCGGCGGCGGGCACGCGCUGUGGGUGUUCGACGUCAAGUCCAAGAACUGGACCGUGGUGCGCCCUCCGCCGCAGUUCGCCGGCUUCGUCUUCUCCCUGGCCUCCGUCCGCGUGUGAUGAGAACCCUCCCCGGCGCCGCUCCCGACCAAGAAGACUACUACUACUACUAGCGAGUAUGUAUGCAUGUUCUUGAGUUGCAGUGCUUCUGCCAUUGAUGGAACUGAGAUCCGCGAUCUCAUCGCCUGAGAUCUGCGCAUCCCGGAUGAAUCAUCGCCAGGAAAAAAGAAGAAAAAAAACAGGAGGCAUCAAUCAUCGCCAAGAAGAAAACAACAAAAAUAACUAGAGGAUUGUAGCUUGUCCUGUCAGAUCUGUGCGCUCUAGUCACCAUGGUUGUGAACUCUCCUCCCUCCCCUCUUCUGCUGUUGAGACAGCCUGCCAUUUCUGUUGUUGAGACAGCGUGGUGUUUUGGUUCUACAGUAUGAUAUUAGCAAUGAGUCGCUGUACAUAUUAUUGUGAGUUGGAAGAUCAUAUCAUGUGGUUUCUCCAUAGUUCUGUCCAGAUCCAGUUCUGCUACUGCUGCUCACAGAGG